ACACACUACCUCACUGUAUAAGACACCAUCGUCUUCUCCGCAAUUCACAAAAAAUCACUCUCACAUACGCAUACUACUCACCUUCACUGGAAAAGGCUCUCAUACGGAUGCACAAUUCUCUCUACACAGUACACACGCAGCUCACCGCACACUCACCGAAGACGAAAAAUUUCUCACAAAAAAAAUGCACACACAUCGUGGAAGCCAGUGGAGAAGAAAAAGAGUGGAAUCGGGUGAAAACAGUAGAAAAGAUGGAGAAACAUUGAUGAAUUGAGGGGGGAGAAACAGUGAACGAUCGAGAAAGGAAGGUCGAUUUUCUGAUGAAAUCUCGUCGGAAACGUCAUCUCUACCGACAAUCUGAAUCCAAAAGCCACCAGCUCCUUCAUUUGUCCAAAAAUUCGAUUAAACCCACAUCACAUCGACUCAAGGAACCGACCAUUCCUUCUCCGUCCCCGUCACCGUCGAGUUCUUCGGUGAAGCUCACUAGAGCCCCGGUAAGUAGCGAAAUCCGUGGUCAAAACAGUGCACAAAUUCUAGUUGAGUCAUCGGUCUUUUGGGUUCUAUUUCGAAUCACCAAGUUGGGUCCAAUUUGAAGUCGAAAUUCGAUUCGAUUUUGGUCGUUGUUAAGGUCGGCUUGAGGUUCUAGUCACGGUUUUAAUCGGAAUAAUACAUCGAUUUUGAAAGCGGCAUUGAGGUCCAAUUCUAUCUUCUCUCCCUUUAAUUUUUACGUGAAUAUGAAUGAUUUGUUGCUUGACAUACUUGAAUCUUUGUUUUGCGUUGGUUGAUGUUGGACUUGAAUGUGAAAAUUUGGAUUAGUAGUUGAAGAAUUGAUUUAUUAUUUUGAGAAUGAAUUCGGGGAGGGAUUGGUUUUGAUGAAAGAUGAAUGUUGGUUAUUUUGAUUCAUUAAACGCGAUAGUAUCAUGAUAGGAUGAAAUUGGUAGGCAAAUGGUAGGCUGGCUAGGCAAAUUUAGGAAUUGUUGGUCGGGAAAUGUUUUGAGGGAUUUGUAUUGAUUUAUCCGGGAAAUGCCCCGAAGUGUUAUGUGCGCAGAGGAGGCUCGUUAUUAAGGCCCGAGGCAUCGGGUAAGACAUUGGAGCGUAGUUUUAGAAUUAGCUUAUAAUAGGAUUUAUAUUUUCGCAUUUUUUUUCUAUUUUUAGGACUAUAUAAUUGGACUGAACACUAAAGUUCGGAUUAUUUUGUUUUGUUUGUUUGAUUGAUUGUUUUAUAUGCUUUUGUGUGGUUUAUAUAUUCGUAAUGUUAAAUUAGUCGAUAUGCUCUACCAAGCGACCGUGGUCAAAUCACGGAACCGAGGGGUGCCUAACACCUUCCCCUCGAUCAACAUAAUUCCUUAGUUGGAAUCUCUGUUUGCAAACUAAUUUAAAGAGUCAAAUCAUUUUUGAAAGAGGAUUUUCAAAUCUGACUUGGCACAUCAGAUUUAUGUCAAGUGGCAACUCUGAGUUAAUUGUAAAAUGAAUUCUUUUUGAAAUAAUUUUUAUUUUGUCACUUUAAUAAUAAAAAUCCUUUCAAACUUUAAAAUCAAUUCUUUUUUGGUUAAAAAAAGGGGUGUGACAAGUUGAACUUCUUGACUUUCAUUAAAAUACUUUGCAAUAGAUAAAAUGGUCUUUCACUUUUUCUCUUCAAUUAUUAUUUAAUUAAAUUACGCAAUCCUAAAAUAUAUAAUAAUAACAAAUAUAUGAUAAAAAAAUAUUAAGAGAACUAAAAUAUUUGAAUAUAUAUGAAAAGUAUAAUUAGUUAAGAAAAAUUAAUGCCACUUUAUAAAAAUUCUAAAUAAAUAAUAUGUCAAUUAGAGCAACAAAAAAAGGUUCAUAAAAGUAUUCUUGAUCUUGAAUAUGAAUGAAAUAAUAUUGAAGAAGCUAUAUUUAAUUUAUAUAAUUAAAAUAAGGAACAUAUUUAUAUAUAGGAUAAUAAUACUUAUGUUUUUUAAUCUUUUUGAAAACUUAUUAUUUCUAUUUAAUUUGGGAAAUAAAGUUUAUCCCAAGUAAAUUGUCUCCCUAAUCAAAUAGGAAAGAGGUUUAUGUAUGAUACUAUAUAUAUAAAGGGUGAUGAAAAGAAAAAUUCAAAAAAUGAAUGAUGCAAGUCAUUAUUGAUUGAUUCUCCAAUAUUCUUAUGCUGGUGAGAAAAAUUCAUGGGGAAAAUGUGAUUUAGACUUUGCGUCUAUUAUAAACGGAAUUAAAGGUUUGUAGAGAAUUUUAUUUCUAAUGCAUAUUGAUAUUAUUUAUAUUGUUAAGGUUAAAUUAUUAGACGUCCUUCAACAAAUAUUAUUAUAUGCUUUUGUUUUAUAUGCUUAAUAUUAUUUUUUGUGUUGGUUGGUACUAUGAUUUGAUGUAUGUCUAAUGCCUUAUUUUGCUUGAUAAGGUUUGAUGUGUUAUUAAUGCCCUUGAUAAAGGUGGUAGAUGAAUGGCUUUGAGAUUUUUUUAAAAGUAAAAUUAGGUAUGAUCACAUUGGUUUGAUAUCUCAAUUGUCAUAUUGUUUUGUUGUAAUUUCUAUUCUAUUGUCAUCUAUUAUUUUUGUCAUUAUCCGUUGUUUAUUGUACUUUGUAAUUACUUCUUUUUUGAACAACUUUGGGUGAUUUUUCCUUGAGUCCAGGUCUUUCAUCAAGUUGAAGUGAAAAAAUAUAACUAAUUAAUGAAUGUUUUCAUAUUGUGAGCAGUUGAGAGUAUUCGAGAUUUUAAAGAUACCGAACAUAUUGUUUUAUUGUAGUUUCUAUUAUGUUAUCAUCUACUGUUUUUAUUAUUAUCUGAAUGACUUUGGGUUGUUUUUUCAUGUGUCGAGAUCCUUCAUCAAGUUUAAGUGUGAAUACAAGACUAAUUGAUAAAUGUUUUCAUAUUUUGAGCAGUUGAAGGUAUAUGAGAUCUUGAAGAUGUCAAAAAAAUUCAUCAUUCGCUUUCUUUUUGGUAUGCAAUCUAUUAUAUAUCUUUGAAUUUUGAGUUUUGGUAAUUGAGUUUGUUUUAUUAUUUUUUCUUUUCAGUUUAGUUUGUAAUUGAUAGACAUAUUAUGAAAUUUGUUUUGUGAAGUUGCAGUUUUGGAGGUUCUUGAAUAGACAUAGCUUGCUUAUAUUUUAUUAUUUAUUAGAUGCAUAUUUUCAUAAAAUUUUAAUGGUUCUAACCAAUUUAUGAAUACUAUAUAAACUAGAGAAAGCGCGGUAUUAAAAAAUUAAUUAUUUGAUGUAAAAAAUUAAUUAUUUUCUCAGUUCAAUUUUAUAUUCACUUUAAAUUUAUUAUCUAACCAUAAAAUUAUAACUUAUUAUAAUGAUAUUAUGAAGAAUGUUUAAAACAAACAUUGAAUUUUACAUUCAUACAAAAACUUUUAAUGAAAAAUAAGAAAAAAUAUAUAUGAGUGUACGUGUUUUACACGUGUCUCUCACAUCAAUCAAUAAAGUAUACAUAAGAAUUAAGAACAAUAUAAUUAGAAAGUAGCAAUAUAAUAACGUUAAAAAAUGAUAUAUCUAUUUAAAUUAUAUAAAUAAAUAUUUUAUCUCAAAUAUAGUAUUAUGUGAUGUGUCUCACUUCAAUGUUUAUUAUAAACGAAAAGAACAAAGUUAAUUUGAAUUUCAUGCUAAUAAAAUUGUUCUCAAACCUCAUUACUCCUUUCACUAAAUAUUAAAUCUUAAAAGUUUUCUAAAAUUUUGACCAACCAAUGAAGUUUCUAGAAUUUUCCUUUUCAAAACAACCCUUUUUAGAUAUAUAUUAUAUGUAUUAUAUUAGAAUACUACUGAAUUUUACCAAAAUAAGGAAAGAAUUUUGCCAAAAAUAGAUUUGUAUUGCAUAUAUAUUAUUUGUACUAUUUGUAUUGUAGUAUUACCAUACCACUUAAUUUUACCAAAAAUGAGGAGUUUUACAAAAUUGAAAAACGACAACCAACAUGGAAACACUAAUUACUUCUCCUCCUAUAUACUUUGGGAGUUUAGUUAAUAUUAUAAAUGUAAUAAUAUAAUAAUUUAGAGAAAUAAGUGAAAAGACAAUUUUAUUUGGUGUAGACAUUUUUAAUGAAACGCAAAAAGUUCAAAUCAUUUUUUCAAGGGUCUUCACAUUUUUAAUAUAUAUAUAUAACCAAUUUCAAUAGUGUAAGUCUUUUUAAGUCUUCAUCACUAUAUACAAAUUGAUUUCAUAUUACAAGUAUACAACUAUCUCAAUGUGAAUAUUGCAAUUUGCAUUAAAAAAAAAAUCGGGAAGAAAAAAGCCUAGAUGAUACAAAUUUAUAUAUAGAGCUUAAAAUAAAAAAACAAUGAAAAAAUCUAUUAGACAAGAAGAUCAAAAAGCAUGAAAAAAAUAAAUUAAGUAGAUCCCUGUGCAAAUAUCCAUAAUCUCUCCGCUCCUAAUUAUCAACAAAACUCAAAUCCUUCUCCAACAUUACAUAACUUCCUUCUUCAUAUAUUUUCGAAGUGUACAAUAUUAUAACUCGCAAGAUUAACUACAUAACUUCCUUCUUCAUAUAACUCUCAAUUUUCUUGAGUAAUGAAGAUUACUAAGAGGAUGAGUUAUAAAGAUGAUAAUAUGUGAGUUAAAGGCACAAAAUUAAUGGAUAUUAUUAUAAUAUAAGUUAUGGGAAUAUGAGUUGGUGUGAGUUAAAAUGAUUUAUUAAAUAAUUAUUUUAAAAAAUAAAAAUAAUUUAAAAUAGAUUAUGGUGUUAUUAUUAUAUGGUGAAAAUGAAAAAUCAAUGUUAAAAAAAUAAAAAAUAAAUAAAUGCAAUUGGAGGCCGUAGAAGUAUGUCACUCAGUAUAUUUCUAAUUCUCCUUGAGAGAUAGAUGUUUAUAAUUACAAACUUUCAAGUAUUCAUAUUUUUAUAAUGAUCCGCUAAUUAACAAUAAUAGUAAGUAAUUAUUCUUUAAAUAUGAUUCUUUCACAUGGUACGUACAACCUCUUUAAUUAAUAUGAUGAAAUUUUUCUUUUAUAAAAUAUAAACUUAUAAAUCUAAUUUUAUAUUUAAAAGAAUUAAAAUCAUGAUUUAAAAUUCCAAUCAUGAUUUUUUGAAAUUUGAAAUUUUAUCUCAUGAGAUGAAAUCAUAUAUCCUACUCUUGAUUUAAUCUCAUAAAUGUCUACUUAGAUUGUGAAUGACAAGACAUCCGGCUAAAAAUCUACUCUUGUAUGCAGAUGGAAUCAAAUCCACAAAAUAUAUAGUCCUGAAUGUUAAGCUCAAAAGUAUUGCUUGGAAUGUUAAGACAAUACGUGUACACUGUAUAUAUAGUCCUGAAUCAAUUCAAUUCAGUUCUACUCUCACAUCUUUGGAGAAAAAAAUCAUGUCACAAAUGCUUCUACAUUGCAAAAAGAGUUAAGUUGUGUUGCAAUGGCCAUGAAUAAUGCAGAAAUGACACCAAAGAAUUAAUAGUAGUAAUAAUGAAGGCAACACCAUAAAUUUCUUCUGUCUCACGUUCACCGCACCAGGUUUCAACAUCACAAACAAUCAGUUUUUUUCUGAAGUAAAAGUUGUUACUGAGGAAGAACAAAAAGUGCAAUCAUGUGAGUGUUGUAUGAUUGACAAUGACCGCACUUACUGUCCGAUUAUGUGGAAGAAUAUUUCAAUUGUGUCAUUAUAGUCGUUGCAAAGAAUUCAAACCUGCAAGUAACAAUUUAGGUGAGAUAAGCAAAACCAAAGGCAGUUCACAAUGUAAGAAGACCAAAGGUAUGCACUAUAUGCACUAAGGCACAGACUAUAUUAAGGCACUAUGAAACACUAAAAACUCAACCCCCAUUGGUUGCCCUCAGUAACUAACAGUCAAAAUAACAACAUGACAAAUACGGGGUCAAGGAAAAGAAAGUACCUUCUUAUAUCUAAGAUCAUCAGGCAUGGUUGUCUCUUCAAUAUGAAAAAAAAAAAAAUCACUUUUAGUGAAGGACUUCAAUAGAGCUAGAUAACCAGAAAUUUUGAAAAUAAUAUAAGAUAAGACUUAACCCCCACUCCAAUAACUAAAAGAACCGUCUGAAAUUGCAAAAGAAUUAAGCAUACAUCAUGACCAACUUAAUACGUACAGGAACAAACAUCAUCAAAAUCUUAGCACUGCCAACAAAUUUGCAAACUCUGAUGUGGAAUUAACAUAUAUUUUAUCGACCUCAGCACAUAAAAAAAAUGAAACAUGGUGUUGAUGUCAGCCUCAUCAACCACAACCAUUUUGCAAAUUACAAGAUCAUAAUGCACUUUUGGGAAUUAUGCUGAUCCCCAGACAUGCUGGACCAUACCAUAUGGUUCAAAAUGCAUCCUCUAUUGCAAUAUCAACGUUGCAGACAAAACACAAACACUUAUGUCCAGUUACUCAUAUCAAGAGAAAAAUAAUUUCUAUCUCUUGUUUUACCUUUAACAUUAAUUACUUAUUACAAAUCAUUUUUCAAGUCCAUGAAAACUACACACCAAUUAAUAUCAAUAUGGGUAUAAUGAUAGAAUAUGCACUUCAUUUGUUAUUUUUUAAGGGAUGUGAGAAGUUUAUUUCGGGCAAGUAAAAGGGAAGAGAGAGAGUAUUAUAUACAUGGACAAAAUUAUAGAUUAAUCACCAUAGAAUAAAUAAUUGGAACUCGUUAAGAAUAAUGAUAGAAUAUGCACUUCAUUUGCUAUUUCUUAAGGGAUGUGAGUAGUUUAUUCCGGGCAAGUAAAAGUGAAGAGAGAGAGUAUUAUAUACAUGGACAAAAUUAUAGAUUAAUCACCAUAGAAUAAAUAAUUUGAACUCGUUAAGAAUAAUGAUAGAAUAUGCACUUCAUUUGCUAUUUCUUAAGGGAUGUGAAAAGUUCAUUCCGGGCAAGUAAAAGUGAAGAGAGAGAGUAUUAUAUACAUAGACAAAAUCAUAAAUUAAUCACCAUAGAAUAAAUAAUUUGAACUCAUUAAGAAUAAUGAUAGAAUAUGCACGUCAUUUAUUAUUUCUUAAGGGAUGUGAAAAGUUCAUUCCGGGCAAGCAAAAGUGAAAAAAGGGAGUAUUAUAUACAUGGAUAAAAUCAUAGAUUAAUCACCAUAGAAUAAAUAAUUUGAACUCAUUAAGAAUAAUGAUAGAAUAUGCACUUCAUUUGUUAUUUCUUAAGGGAUGUGAAAAGUACAUUCCGGGCAAGUAAAAGUGAAGAGAAAGAGUAUUAUAUACAUGGACAAAAUCAUAGAUUAAUUACCAUAGAAUAAAUAAUUUGAACUCGUUAAGAAUACACUUCUGUAAGUUGGGAGGAUGAAAAAAAACUGAUCCAAUUGAAGCAGUUAAGCACCUUGACACAAAAUAAUAAGACAGGACACGAAAAGUUCACAGAAUUCAACAUAACAAAAGUCACAGGCUAAUUAUAAAAAACCAUCCACAAUGCUUUAAGAGAAAUACAAAAAAUGAAUUCACAUCCAAUACAAGCAUGAAACAUGUAAGCGAAUAAUAACAGCGACAAAAAAUUGGAGGUACUUAAAACUAUUUUGAGUUUAUCGGGGUACCUUCACUAAAGCUUGUCGAAAUCAGAAAAAGCUAAGAAGUGCAUAAGUAACAUAAAAGAAAAACACAAAAGACAUCAAUAUUGUUGUUUUCUUGGUCGUUCGAAGAUCAAACAACAAUUAUCAAAGUGGCACCACAACACGUGGGGAGGAACCCUCAAAACAUCUCAUACACCAUUAGACUUGCUUCCAAAAAUUAAAAAUGAAACAAUAUUCAUCAACAGUAUAAAAUACAACACAAGACACCAGCCUCCUUUAAUACGAGUACAAGCCUCUUCAACCCCCUUUUUCUGCUUCACUAAAGGUCCUUUAAAUCCUUGAAAAAAAUGCAAAUAAGUGUGCGCAAAAAUAGAAAAUUAUUCAAUCUGAUAACCACAAAUAAGUAAAGUGAUUCACCAAAAUAAUUUUAUAAAGUCAAAAACUCAACCCGAUAAAGUAUUUUGUCAAAAUAAUUUUAUAAAUCUGAUGAAUUAGUUGAAAUAAAAAAGCACAAAUGUAUAAUAUUAGCUUUGCUUAUAGUUAUUGGCGAGAAGAAAAUGGAGAUUAGAUGGUAGAGAACAAUGGGUAAAGCCUGAAAAGAGGAGUGCACAAAAAUUAUCCAAUAGAAAUUUGCAAAAAUCUGAUGAAACAAAUAACAACAAAAUUGCAAUCGGAAAACCUAUUGGUUCUUCUCCUCCUUUUUCCUUUUUCCCUUUUUUAACUGUUGGAACAAAGGCGUUCGUUCUUCUUAUUCUCUUUUCAACAGUCACAAGUUUAAUAAGCGUCUGUUGGGGUCUGUGAAGGUAACUGAUUAUUUUUUCUUUUGAUAUUUUUUUAAAAGUAAAAUUUAAGUAAAAAAAAUCAAAAAAGGACAAAAUAGAUAAAUACCAAUGGUGGUCAUUGGAGGAUGCCACAUCAGCACAUCCUUAAUCCUCUUCUAUAUAUAUAUAUAUUGAGUAUACAUAAUUAACAGUUUAUAUUAAUCAUAUACUCGAACAAAUGCAAGCGCAAACGCGUCCAUCUACACUAGUAUAAUAUAAUUUAAUGGAUGAUGGAAUAUCAUUGUUCUUACUGUUGACGAUAGUAUACAGCUUAAAUUGCUAGACUAUAAACUUACUCAAAUUUUGCAAUUAGAUUUCAGAUUAUAAAUGAUACUUUUAGUUGACUGACAUUGAUUUACCAAACUUCAAAGCACCUCGGCUAUACAUCUUCGCGCAUAGAGAAAACUUCAAUAUAAUGCACCAAGCUGUCUUUUUAAUUAUAUUGAACAUAUUUUUAUUAUUAUUGUAUUUGCAUUAAAUACCUAUUUCUCAUUAGUAUAGAUAUCAAGUAAUGUUGUUCAUUCAAAUUUUUAGAUAAAAGAAAAAAAAAAUUACUGUAUAUUUUAUAUUGCUACUGAAAUUUACAUCAUGAUUCUCAUAAUUUUCACUAAUUUUUAUUAAUAACUAAUAACUAGAUCAUGCUAUUCAAUAGCAAUCAAUUAAAUUUUACCAUAUUAAGUUUAGAAGUUGCACUACUGUGAUAAAAGCUUUUAGUGACAAUAAGUAUGCAUUUAACAAAGAAUGCUAAAGAUUUUAUCUGUCAUUUGAAUCCAAUGUUAUUAUAGGCUUUAAGGACGUUUACAAAGAAUGCUAAAAUAUAAUUAUCUCUACAAAUAUAAUAUAGUGGUAACUAAGUUAUUGUCAUUAAAUAUCUUUUUUGUGUAGUAUUUGUAUACAAAUUCAUGUGACCAGUUUAAUAAUUUAUGUUUAUAUUUUGUAUUUUAAAUUUUAAAUUCGUCUUAGAAACAAGAAUCAAUAUAUAUUUAAUAAUAAAAGGAAAACAUAGAGAAGGUGAUGUGACACUUCUCUAUGGCCUUCAUUGCUAUUUAUUUUUCUUCAUUUUUUGGCAGUUUUUCUUCAUAAUUUACCUACUAAUUGUAUUUAAAAAAUCUACACAUUAAAUACUAAUCCAAAACCACUACCUACUAUAUGCAAUAAAGUCUAAUUAUAUCAUUACUUCACCCACACAACAUCAAUAUUCAUUUGUAUAGUAUACCUAAACAGUUUUUCCUUAUAAUUAAUCACUCAUAAUUAAGUGGACAAUUCAUUUGUCUUGCCUAUUCAUAUUUCAAUUUCGCGCUAUAUAUAUCUUCAUAUAAUUUUGGAAUCUCAUGGUACGUCAUCUCUUUUUUUCUCUUUUGUUUUCAUCAUUUCUUUCUUUCUUUUUUAUUUUAUUUUAUAUCAUUAAUUUUAAAGUAUUAUCAUCGUCUUAUAAAAGUGCUGAUGCACAUGAAGUUGUUUGACAUGAAAAGGUAAGUCAAGAAUCUAUUUUAUUAAUAUCAUUGUUAUUUAAGUUUUUACAAAAUUUUAUUUUAAUUUUCAUAAUAUUUUGAUUCUUUGAAGAUUGUUUAUUUACAGGAAUAUAUAGCUAUAUUUAUAUGUUCACAUAAUUGCGGGCAAUAAAGAAUACGAGAAGUCAAAUGUCACGUCUUGUAGGUUAGAACUUCUAUCAAAAAAAUUCAUAAUUAUAUAUAUUCAUUGUUCAAAAAGAGACAUAAGAAAUGGAAUAAUUUUAAUAAAUAAAUUCAUUAAAUAGGGAGACUUCAUUACACCAAACUGUUUUGAUAUAUUUUCAUGUCAGUAGAACACUGUAUUUUUUUUAAAGUCUUAUAUAAUUUGUUUCAUAGUUUAUGAAUGUGGUGUAUAAAAUACAUAGACCAACUUUAUAACUAUGAAAGAGGAUAAAAAAGAAGUAGAUAACUGAUAAUUGUGUUGUUAUUUUUUCUUCUAAAUAUGUUGCACAAUUUUUAAAGUUUUUUUCUUUAUAGUAUCUAAUAACUUUUCUAAACUUUUCGAAUGAGCAAGGAGAUCCUUGAGCAAGGCGAUCCUUCUUACAAGAGCAACAAUCAAUAAUGGAAGGUAGAAGGAUAACAAUGUUUGUUAUUUAUAGCCUCUUUUUUACUAAGAUAGAACUUUCAAAAUUGAAGCAAUGCUAAUUUUUAUUAUAUCAAAUUAUUUAAACUAUGAAAUAACUAGGACUAACAGUAAAGCAUAACUGUAGAAUAAUAGUUAAUAUAACUAAUUACGAAGUACAAAGCAAUUACUAAGAUUAUUUCUUUUAAUUUGUAUUCAUGAAAAUUAUAGAGAAACAAAAAAUUUAUUAUCCAACAAAAUACGUAAACACAAGUAAGAAUUUAUGAUUAAUUAACUAUAUACAAUUAAUUUCACAGAAGUAUGAUAAAAAUAAUUCAUUUUUUUAAUAAUAAAUUUGUAAGAAUAUUUAUUAAUAUAAAUUUAUUAAUAUUUUUUCUAACCAUGCGAAGCGCAACCAUUAUUAUCACUGGUUAAAGAUAAAGAUAUCUCGACAUAGUUUGUGAUAUGACAUUUGCCAUAUUAAAUAGUCGUUUGGCCAUAGAAAUUUUUUAUUUUUUCCGAAAAAUUAUUUAACUUUAGUGAAAAAAGUGAAAACACGUUGCGUUUGGUCAUGAAUUUUUCAACUCCAAUUUCUAAAAAUUAUUUGGAAAAGUGAAAAAAUAAGUUUUACUUGUUUUCACUUUUUCACUCAUACUUCUCUCACAAAAUUUUAAAAACAACUUUAAUUUAUAUUCAUGGUCAAACACAACCCCAACUCUAACUUCAUCUUCAACUCCAACUCCAACUCCAAAAAAAAAAAAAAAUCAUGACCAAAUGGGGCCUAAAGCUCCUUCAAUAUAUCCACCAAAUUUUCAAACAUAAUUUUCAUGGUGGACUUUCAUGACUCUGUUUUUCCUUCCUUGGGCUUGGGCUUGGCCUACUUUACAAAUUUAUGUUAAUGGGCCAGAUUCCCGAGAAGGGAAAAUUUCAUAAUAUCAAAAUUAGUGUCGAUUUUUUUGGGGCAAUUUUCAUAAAUUCCACCAGAUUUCUUCUUAAUUACCUUUUUACUCAAAAUUUUUAAUAAAUUUUUUUCUCCCAAAUUUUAAUUGUUCAUAUACAUAAGUAUCUUAUGUAUCAUAAGUUCAUAACUAACAUCCUUAACGAUAUUUAAGGAAAUAAAUCAAAUCUAAUAAUUAUCCAAAACGAUAUUUAAGGAAAUAAAUCAAGUCUAAUAAUUAUUCAAAAUGAUAUUUAAGAAAAUAAAUUAAGUCUAAUAAUUAUCUAAUAUUAUACCUUAUUAAUGUGUGAUUAAUAAAUCUCUUAAUUAUGUAAAUUUUUUUAAAAAAUAUACUCCUCAAAAGAAAUUAACUAAUAAAUCAGCUAGAAAAUUUUAGAACCAAAGAAAAAAGGCCCUUGUAAAAUAAAGGGACAUAUAAAAUUUUAAAACAAAAUAAACACUCAUAUAAAAAAAAUUACUACAUAAGUUUACGAAAAAUUUACUACCUAGUCUACAUAUAAAGAUAUUUUACUACGUAAGUAUGGAAAAAUUUGAAGCAAAAAAAAUGAAUUCCUACAAAAUCUGAAGAACAAGACAACAGUGAACCCCAACCCUUAUACAUAUAGGUUUGCAGAAUACACAUCUCAAGCAUCACAUAUACAUAACAAUAUGAAAUAAACUUGAAAAUAUAAAGAUAAGACAUCAUAUACAAUGUUCUUUCAUAUACAAAAUACUGCAAUGUAUAUGGGGUGAAACACACACAACACGUCUUGUCUAACAGAACCAUAUACAUAACUAUGCUAUAUAUAACACUAUGGUCAAACUCAUCGAUAGCCCCCUGAAGUUGGCACGUUCUUUCACUUUGGCGCCUCAAUUGGACCUUGUUCAUUUUUGACACCUCAAGUAGCUUUAAAGUGUGUCAUUUUGACACUUUUUGCUGAAUCAGCAAAAAUCGUGUGCUACACGCACUAAAAGCGUGUUUGAGGGAGCAUUUUCAUAAUUUUUUCAUCUUCCUUCUCUUUCUUCCUCAUUCUUUCUCUUUUUUCCACCAUUUUUUUUCCAUUAUAAGCUUCCAUUGUUGAGGAAUUAUAAAAAAAACUCACAACCACCACUUUUCUUUCUUUCCUUUUUUCUACAUAGCAAUGUAGAACUGGAAAAAGAAAAGGGGUAGUGAAUUUUGGUACCUGAUAAAUGACUUGCCAUUAAAGGAUUUAUUGUUAUUGAUGUCAUCAGAAACGGGCAAAGGGAAAUCUUGAACCUUAAAAGCAUAAAGACCUUCACUACCACCUUAAAACUUCAACCAAAUGACAUCAACUACUUAAUGGCUGUAGGAAUUUUUUUAACACAACAUGAUACGUAAAUCAAAAUACAUAAGAUGUCUCCGGUGAGCUCUGUGUAAGCACAUUUUUGGUGAGUUUUCGAUGAAAUGAAAGCUGUGUGUGCGUUUUCGGUGGCGAGGUGGGUGUCUCGAUUUGGGGGUGGUAGGGGGGUGGUAGGGAAAUUAAAUUUUAUAAUUUUUUUAUAAUUAUUUAAGUUAAAAUUGCCAAGUGGCAAUAUUUGAUUGGCAUUUUUUUUAUUUUAACUAAAAAUAGAUAUCUAACAAUUAAUUUGGAGAAAAAUGACAAAUGUCAUAAUAUUAUUGAUCAUUUUACACGACAUCGGCGCGUGUAAUACACGCACACGAUAUAUUUUUGUUGAUUCAGCAAAAAAUGUUAAAAUAACAUCCGUGUAUGCUACUUGAGGUGUCAAAAGUGAACAAGGUCCAGUUGAGGUGCCUAAGUGAAAGAUCGUGCCAACUUCAGGGGGCUACCAAUGGAUUUGGCCUAACAUUAUUGAUGCAUAACGUAUACAUAACUCUGUAAUGUAUAUGACCUAAAAUUAAACAUCACAACAGUGUCUUGUUUCAAUACAUAUACAAAACAGAUUUAUAUAUAUGGGUUGAAAUAAAACGUCCAACAAAUGACAUAACUACAAAUAUAUACAUAACUCACUAGGUAUCAUACUUCAAAAUAACAACAUGAAUUUACUAAGUAAUCUAACCAUAUACAUGACAAAUUUAAUGUAUAAGAAGGCGUCCCUAACACUAUACAUAACUGGUUUAUGUAUAAGGUUGAAACAACAACAAAACGCUCUUAUAUAAUAAUGUAUAAGAAAGCGUAAAUCGAUAAAAAAAUACAGAUUCAACAACAAAUCACUAUACCUUUGGAAGACACGGUCGUGAUGAUACUUCACUUUUUUUAUCUUACUUGAAGAUUUAGUAACGGAAUUUUUAGAGCUUGUACGAGCUACUUUCCUUGACUACUUCAUCUAGCGGGGUCGUUUCGAUCUAUUUUCCCUAAAACUCAAAUCAAACUCCAUGCCAUUACUAUGCUUAAGUUUUGAGAAUUACGCACAUGCAACAAGUAACUCGUAGAAUUUUGAUUUAGUAAAAUCAAAAAAAUUAAGAAAAUUUAGCCUCAAAAAUAAAUUAAAGAAGAUGAUGAUGUUCAACAAUUUGAUAAGAUAACAUUUUAGUGUAUGUAAUUAUUUUUAAUUUAAGGAUGUAUAUUUUAAUGUCAGGUAAUAUAUUUUAGUAUAUCCAUUACAUACACUAAAAUGUUAGGUAAUAUAUCUAAGGAUGUAUAUUUUAAUUUUUUUUCCCCAUAAUUUUACCUUUUUGCCCUUGAAACGGGCUUCGCCCAAUUUGUAAAUUUAUGUUAAUGGGCCAGAUUAUUUGUAGUAUGUGGAAAUUAUCCCAAAUAUACUUUUUAGAUUGUUAAUUACAAGUUAUAGCAUAACUUUUCAUUAAUUGCUAGACUUAAGAAAUAAUUACAAACUAUAGCAACUUUUGAGAAAAAUAUAUUUUAAUUAAAUUUUUGAAAAUCAAUUUUAUAAUAUUUAUUAUUUGUAUUAUUUCCUUGUAUUUAGCAUUUAAUAUUUAUCACUAUUAAUUAAAAAAAUUGGAUAAUUAUGGCAAGUUCAGGUAUCAAUAUUUUUUUUAAUAAUUAAAUAUCCAAGUUUGUCCACAAUUUAAGAAGUUAUAUAUGGUAACUAUAUUUUUUAAACUUAAGAUCUGAUUUUAUACUUUUUUAUUAACUUGAAUAAUUAACCUGAUUAUACACUUUUUCAUAUUUUUUAGUUUUUAAUUAUCAAUAGAAAUCUUAUCUCUUUACCUUUUUUAAUUACCAAUAGAAGUCUUAUCUCUUUACUUUCCAUUCAUUAAAUUUCUUCUAAGUAGUGACUCUUCUUGAUCACUAACUAAUAGGAACAAAAAUAUUUUAGUUCAUAAUGUAAUUAUUGAUGUUUUUUAUCUCAUUUAUCCUUCACUUUUUUGACCCCAUUUCCUUAUUAACUACUCGUAGUAUAUUCAAAUUGGAGCAACGUUGGAAUUGAAAAAUAUUAGCAUAAGAAAACACAUAAAAUUUAGCCACCUUUGAAGCACAUAAAUAAUUUGAAUAUUUACGUAACCAAUUGUGUUAGAUGAGUUGAUCCCCAAUCCAGUAUAUACUUGUAAAUUUGUAAAUGACAAAUCACGAGCAUGAUUCAAUUAUCCUAUAAAUAUAUUUUCUAUGCUUCAAUUUAUUUAUCUUAGUUUUUUAAUAUAUUUUUUAAAAAGAUAUAUCUUUUCUAUUUAAUAUAUUUUUAAAUUUAUUUAUCUUAUUUUUUUAAUAUAUUUUACAUGUAUACCUUGAAAACUCAUUUAGAACUUCAAACUCCUGUUUGGCUCGUUGCUAACAUCUGAAAGAUGGUUAGCCAGAGCACAUUUCAUUGUUUUACCUGUAAUGUCCAUCUACUCGAGGAAGAUUCAUUUUUAAGAUACAUUAGCCAAACAAGGAUGUCUUUUAUUGAGUUUUUUUUCAUGUGAGACCUUUAAUAGAUGUAUUGAUUAGUCUGUAAGAUUGUUGUACCAGCAGUUUAUAGGUCGAGGGAUGGUUUCAAUUAGUGUAAUGAUGUUAAUUGCCAAUUAGUGUAAUGAUGUUAACUAAGUCUUGAUGAACACAUUUUUUUUAGGAUAAUCCCACUUUUAAUACGUUGAAAUCAAUUUAUAUACUCAUUUCAUACUUAAGUAAUAUUUUUAUUUUGAGUUCUCAAUGUAUUAAAUUGAUAUCGAUGAAGUCCCGCAUAUAUCACAUUGUAUUGAAUGAGUUUUAUGAAUGUGACAAUCGAUGAGAAAAAAUAUGUUUUAUGUUACAUAACCUUUUUAGUGUAUGUAAUGGAUAUUAUAUGAAAAACUAUCAACGUAAAUGUUGAAAAUAAAUUAAUUGAUAAUUGUUUGAUGUCAAAUAAUUUUUCAUUGCAAUAAAAAAUAAUCAGUAUUAAUCAAGAUUGAUAUUUUUGUUUCCUUUCUGGCAAAAUGAAGAACAUUAUAUAAAUACGAUGUUAAAUAUCAAAAUUUAACUUUGUUUAUACCAACAAUCUUAUACAAAGAGUAAUGAGCACCAAUAAAAAUCAAAAUUUAAUAUUCAUGUUAAAUGUUACUAAUUAUAGAAUCAAAAAAUGUAUAAUUUGAUGUAAUUGAUAUUAAAUUUAAUAUCAUCUGAUGCAACUUAGUAGAGUUAGUAGUUACAGUGCUGCUACAUAGUAGAGUUAGUAUUUAAAAUAUUGUGAGCUACCAUGUGCUGCUACAUAGUAGAGUUAGUAGUUACAGUGCGUUCAUCAUUGCAUCCAGAAGAAGGCUAUUGUAAAAAGAAAAAGAAGCAACAAAUAAUUAUUAAAAAGAAUAACACUAACAAAAAGAAGUCCAAUUAAGUACAAGAAGAAAGAAAUGUUUAUAAAUUAAAUGAAAUGUUUAUAAAUUAUCUUCACAAACUUGUAUGUUUUUGGGCUAUUGUAAAAAGAAAAAGAAACAACAAAUAAUUAUUAAAAAAAAAAAAACACUACAAAAAGAAGUCCAAUUAAGUACAAGAAGAAAGAAAUUAAAUAAAUUACAUGAAAUGUUUAUAAAUUAUCUUCACAAACUUGUAUGUUUUUUGGACCUAUGUUGCAAUGUCAAACCUUAUAAUAACCACCAGUAAUCAUUCCCUUGGGAAAAAUGUAUAUUGCUAUUUAGUGCUAACUUCCGUAGUGGCAAACAUAGAAAAAUUAGCCUGUGACUUUCUUAUGGACUAUAUGCUUAAUUAAUUAGUAAUUAAAUUUCUUUAAGCAUAGGAUUUGAGUUGGUCCCACAUUAUUGAUCCUAAAUAUGUUAGCUUUGUCGUCCCAAUUUGAGAGAGUUUGAAUACGAUUAAUUCUUCAACAACAAACAUAAAUUGAGACUUUAGACACUACGGUUCGUUUGGUAAAAGGGAUAAGAGAUAAUUAAUUUCAAAAUUCAUUUUAGGAUGAACUUAUCCUUCAUGUUUGAUUGAGAUAAAAGGCAUGGAAAAACUCAUCCCGAUAUUUAUUAUUUUGAGAUUUUAUUGUUACUUUUAUCUAUUCUUAAGGAUGAAAUAGCUAAUUCAGAUAACUAAUUUCAAAAUAAUUAAUUUUUCAACAAACCGUGCCUAAGUGUGGUUAAAAUAUUUGAACUUAACAUAAGGGCUCUAGAAGUAUAUGAAUUUUUGUUUAUUAUCACCCAAAGGCCUUCUCAAUCACGACAGGAUUGUGAUUGUUCAAUUUAUAAUCAGGAACGAAUUAUCUCAUCUAAAAUUUUCUUGAAGAAAAACACAUUAGUUUGGUUAUUUAGGAUUAAAAAAAAAAACACUCAUUUUGAUUCCAAACUCGACAAACAUAUCUCAUAUUAUCAAUUUUUGAUUCCAAACUCGACAAACAUAUCUCAUAUUAUCAAUCUAGUUAAUUUCUCAUAUUAUCAUUAAACUAUUGAUAAUAUACCACAAAAGUUAUUUUUAUUUUUUUUAUGACAAAAAUGUCACUCAACUAAUAGUUUAUCUCUUAUAUUGUCAUCCUAACAUUUUAAGCUACUAAACUCACUUAAUUUUCUUAAGUAAUGCUUUAAAUUCAAUUUUAAUAACAUAUUCAUUAAAUUAUACCACCUAAUACAAAUCAAAAAAUGAUUUUAGUAUAAAAGCAAUAAAAUCCACCAAUUCUAAUAUAAAAGCAAUAAAUCCAUCAAAAUAAAAUAGAUCUUAAAUAAAGACAAAUUAUACAUGGUGAAAAUAACUUUAAAAACUUUUUAAAAAGUAUGAGAUUUUAUAAGACCAUUUUUUGUUAGUUUUUAAGGGGUCAUUCUCUCUGCUUCAUAUUAUUUAUCCACUUUUCUCUACACGUUCCAUAUAAAAUUAUAAAUAAAAAGAAUAAUUUUACUAAUUUACCUUAUAAUUUUUAAUAUAUUCUAUUAGUUUCUUAAUAAAUACUAAAAUUUAACAAUAUAAGAAUUUGUUUGAAACUUUAUUAUAUUUAUACUUUCAAAAAGAAUUAAUAUAAAGAUAAAUAAUAAUUAAAUUUUAGUCUUAUAAAUUGACAAAUAACUUAGAAUAUAUGGAACAAAAAAUAAGUUAAUACUUCCCUCAUUCUUAAAUAAGUGAACAAAAGUAAAAUAUAAACUAAGAUAAUUUAACAUGUAUAUUUUAAAAUUGUAUAUCUAUUUUAAAAAUUUAUUAAAUGUAUACAUAUUAAGAAUAUAGAACUUAUUGAUUUUUAAAAAAUAUAUUAAAAUUCAAAAUUCAUAAACUUCAAAUUCCGACUCAAUAAAUGAAAUUGUAAAGAGAAAAAUCUAUAAAUAAUAUGAAAUGGAGUGAGUGUCCCCUUUUCUUUAAAAUAGUUCUAUAAAUCUCAUGUAUUUUUCUUAAUUAUUUUAAAAUAUCUCAAUAUGUCUAAUUUUUGUUUAUUUAAAAUAUAUAUUUCAUUUUGAUGGAUUUUAUUAUUUUUUAUAUUAGACCUAUUUUUUGCUAUGUAUUUAUGUGGUAUAAUUUAAUAAAUUUGUCAUAAAUUUAAACUUAAUUAAGUGAGUUUAGUAGUUUAAAAUGCUAGAAUAACAAUAUAAGAGAUAAACUAAUAGUUGAGUGAUAUUAUUAUCGUAAAAAUAACAAAAGUGAUUUUUAUGAAAUAUUGUCAAUAGUUGAAUGAUAAUACGAGAAAUUAACUCGAUAUCAAUCAUCUGAAGAUGGAUUUGAGGGGGGGAGUGGGGUAAUGAUAAUGUGGGGGUGAGAGUGGGGGUGGGGGUGGGGUGGGUGUAUAUUCCAAGUGUCAAUUCUAAGGUCACCUCCAAUACCAUGGCAAUGAUUACAUACACCUCCAGUGUAAUAUUCCUGGGAAAUGUUUUGCUCCUUUGUCUGUCUGUCUAGACCCCUCAUUUCCUCUUCUACAUCCAUCCAUCUAUCAGAAAAAUAUAUAUAUAUAAGGUCUACAGAUUAGAUUGGAUUGGAUAUGAAUUAUGAUAUAGUGAGGUGAGCAAUUGAGACAUGCCUCUGUCAUGACAAUGACUUGUCUACAUAUUAUUCUCUUUGUGAAAUGAAAUAUUUGCCACCUAUCUAUUCAUCUCCAAUGAUGAUGAAUAUUUUACAGCUAACCUACUAUCCCAUCACACCUCUGCACGUGGCCCAUCCUCUUUAUGCUCAUCUCUUUUUAUUCCCUCCUUGCUCUCUCAAAGAACCAAAUACUUGUAGUCUUCUUUAUCUCUUUCCGAUCAUUUGGUUGGGUGUACAAAUAUAGUAUUGUAAGUAAUAAAAUAUGUUUAAUAAUAGUAUUAUGAUUAGGGAUGUACAGAUAAAUCGUCGAGUCAAAUCAAAUCAAAUUAAGGAAAAAAAUUGAUUUAUGAUUUAAUUUGGUUGUUUUGGUAUUUGAAAAAAAAUGAUUAUUCUUGAUUUGGUUUGGUGUUAAUAAAAAAAAAGGCAAAUCAAACCCAAAUCAAACUGACAUAAAACAUAUAUAUAUGUGUGUAUAUGCAUGUAUAUAAUUUAACUUUUUAUACAUAAAAUAUUAAUUAUAAUCUACUUUUUAAAUACUUUUUCAAUUGGUUUUAUUAAUUUUCAAUAUUUAGAAAGUAGAUGUGUGUGUAUAUCUAUCUAUCUAUCUAUCUAUUUAUAUAUAUUUGCUUAUUUUAGUAUUUUGAAUUAACUAUUUCAUUAAAUGUGAGAAAUGCAGUCUUUAAGAACAGGACUUGCUUCUCAAUUUUUCAUAAUUGUGAUUUUUCAUUAGCACAUGAAUGAAAACAACUUGAUCUAAACUUCAAUCACAAUAUAAUUGUAAAAAAUAAAGAUUAUAAAAAAACCAAGAAAAAAUAAAAAAAAUGAGAAAAAUCGAAAGAACCGACUAAAACCUAAACCGAAAAAAUUAUUUUUUUGUUGGUUUGAUUUGGUUUAUAAUUUUAAUAAACCGACAUAUAUAAUUGGUUUGGUUAUUUUUAAUAGAAAACCAAACCAACCCGACCUAUGUACACCCCUAAUUAUGAUAAUGAUAUUGAUAAUAGUUUUAUUAAUUAUUUAAUUUAUUAUCUUAAAUGAAUACGGUAUGUUAGAAUACAAAUAACAAUAAACAAAAUAUAUUAAAAUAGAGUUAAAUAAAGGUAUCAAAAUAAAUCUAAAUUGAGCUGACUCAUUCAAUUCGUCCAAUAUUUAAUGAGUUGGGUUCAAGAUAAUUUACUAAUGUGUAAGUUUCAAAUCAUUAAGUCUUUACUCAUUUUUAAAUUGAAUUAAAAUGAGUCCAAUUUAAUCUCUACUUCAACUCGUUUAAUAGAAAAAUAAUUUUCUUAAUAAAAAUAGGGAAAACAAGUGACAAUGUGUCCUCCCGCUCUUAAAAUCACCCAACUCACCUCACCCCCACUACCCCUCCAACUUAUCCCAUCCCCACCCGCCUCCAUUAAAUAUGUUAUUUUUAUUUCUUGAAAAGUUUUUAUAAUUUUUUUUCUAGCCCUCACUCCACCCCAUCCUCAUCCCCUUGUCUACCCCAACCCCCACCCCUACUUCCACUCCAAAAAAUUACAACAACAACAACAAACCCAGUAUAUUCUCACGUAGUGGGGUCUGGGGAGGAUAGAGUGUACGCAAUUCAUACCACUAUCUCUAAAGAAGUAGAAAGGUUGUUUUCGAUAGACCCCCGACUCAAGAUAAAAGUCCAUACCACUCCAAAAAAUUAAUUCUUUUAAUUCUUUUUUUAAAAACAUUAAAAUCUUUUCUCACCUCAAAAUCAAUAUGACAAUAUUUCAUUUCCAAAAAAUAUUUUUUUAAAAAAAAAAUAAUCUUUUUUCUAAGAAAAAAAAAAACUCUUACCCCAACCCCUAUUCCUUCCACACCCCCACACUACUUUCAAAUUUUCUUUUUUAAAAAAAAAAUUCUAAAAAAUAUUCUUACCCCACUAUCAUGGCAUACCCCUUUCCCAACAUGUUAUUUUUUAAAAAUUUCUUACCUCAUCCUCAUCCUAACUCCCGAUCCCCUACCCCACACCCCUCUCUAAAUAAUAAAUUUUUUAUUUUAAAAAAAUUAAAUUAAAAAAAAAAUUACCCCACCUCCUCUCUCUACCCGUCCACCCAACUUUUCAACCCUAUUCAAAUUUAUUUUCUUGAGUUGAGUUUACAAUGAAUAAAUAUCAAUAUGUUAAUAUUCUUUAGACUAAGCGGGUCAAGAUCCAAUUCAAUUUUUAUCCAUUUCAAUCCAAUUUCUUUCAAUCCAAAAUAAAUUUGGCGGGUCAUGACCCAACCCAAUAUUCAAUUCAACCCAUUUAAUAUUUUCAAUCUCAACCCAAACCCAACCCGAUAUUCAAUUCGACUCAUUUAAUAUUUUCAAUCUCAACUCAACCUGCCCAUUUGACACCUCUAGAGUUAAAGGUCAAAAACACAUUUAAGCUAUUUCAAUUUUUUGAGUUUCAUUAAACUAUUAAAAGUGUAAAUUUUAUAUUUGAAUUAUUGUCUAAUUGUUAGCGAAACACACUUCAACUAAUAUCUGAUAAUACUUUUCCAAUUAGAAAACAACGAAAAUGAUUUUUUAAAAUUUUAAAUUCAAGAAAUGAAAAUCCAUUAGAAAAAAGGACGGAUGUGCUCUAUAUGUUCGACAACAAGGAUAUGUGUGCUGCAAUUUUAAUGAGUGAUAUAUAAAUUCUACAUUGUAAAGUUAAAAGUAUAUUACAACCUUUUUUCUAAUUUACAGAACAGCCCCAAACCUCAAAUAAAAAUUAAAGAUAUAUGUAAGUUUUGGAAGAAUUGUGAAGAGUAGCUAUAAGACUAUAGCUAGCUACAACAAUGCAACAAGGUGUACUUGAAAAAAGUUGAAACGACUAAAAGAAUUUGGCAUUCAAAACUUCCAAUACAUCAUUUUUGGGAACCAUGGUAGCACACAACACAUCAACUAUUUGAACUUUCUAUCUUAUUUGUGAACUAGUAAAUAUAUUCAUGCGAUUUUAAAAAUAAAUUAAUAAAUUUUUGACAGAUCUUUAAUCAAUUUUAAGAAAUAAUAAUUUGAUUGGAAAAAAGGAUACUGUAAUUAUAACAAUGACAAUGUAUAUUUAAUCAUUUUAUAACAAACAAUUUUUUUUGGUUAAGAAAAAUAUAUGUUACUAAUAAAGAAAAAUUAUGUAUGAUAAAGCUUGUGAUUCCGUCUAUAUUAAUAAAAUUGUCUUGUCGUUACCAUUAGAAAAUUAUUAAGUUCUUUUUUCUUUCGUAAAUUUUUAGAUAAUUUUAUCCAAUAAAAUCUUUGUUAUACUUUUUAGUAAUAAUAUAUAUUAAAGAAAAUUUUAUUAAUCUUAAUAAUUCUUUACGCGUGUGUAAUGUAAUUCAUAUAUGAUCGAAGAUAUGAAUAAUACAACUUCAAAAAUAAAUGAUAAUUUUUAUUAGAAUAUAUUUAGAAUACAGAUGUUACGUGAUGUAAUUCUCACAAUAUUUUUAUUUAUAGGAGCUAUUAAUUCUCUUUGGAGAGGAUACAUAUAAGAUAAGUUUUUUCACAAUGACCAUCCUUAUAUGGUCAAUAUUAAUUGGUCUAAUGAGCAAUUUCAAACCUGAAAAAUCAUGUGUAACAUAAGAGAUGAGGUUGAUAAAAAAAUCAUGUGGAUAAAAAAUGAUAAUUGGGGAUUAAAGAAGAGAGUCACGUGAGAAGAAUAGGGGGAGAAAACAUAUAAAUGUGUAAGCAUUGAAAUUCAUUGAAAUAAUGUAAUAACUCAGGGACUUAAAGCGUCAUAGCCCCAAUAAAAAUUGAAGGAAAUAUCUCCUAAAAAAAAAAGAAAAUAGAUAAUUUUAUACACACGUGUAUAUAGAGAGAGAGAGAUGAAUUAAAAUUUAAUUUUUAAUUUUUUCAAAAGAUUUCCUUAAUCUAAGGAUAGAUUAAAGAAAUAAUUAAAGACAAAACGAAAUGAAACAAAAUAAGGAAUGUAUUGGGCAAUAAUAAAACAAAAACUCAAAUUAAGUGCACAAGCACAAAAUUUAUUUCCUACCUUUCUUAUUUUUUCUUUUUCUUUUUUGUUUAUACUACCAAUUUCAUCCCUUCUUUUUAGUCAAAGUCACUCAUCACCUCCAUCAUAACUUCUUCAAAUUGCCAUUUAUGAUUACUUUUACUUCAUCUUUUAUUAAUAUUCUCUGAAUUUCUUCAUUUUAUUAUUGCACAAAUAAUCAAUAAAAUUUUCAUUCUACUCCAAAAUUUGUACAAAAUUUUCAUAACUUUUCUUUUCAUUUUUCUAAUUUUUUACCAUCCAAAUACUUCUAUAAAUAUAAUUAGCCUAUAAAUUCAUCAUGCACAAAUUAUAAUGUUACAGUGUUCAAAAAGAAGAGAAAGAGGAAGAACAAAAAAAUACAAAUAAAUAUGAAAUACAAUCUUAAAUACAUAUUAUUUCCCUACACUACUAAACUUAUCUUUAACUUUCUUGUCAGACCUUUUAUUUCAUUCUCAUAUAAUGUUACAGUCUUCAAAAAAAGAAGAGGAGAGGAAAAGAGGGAAAAAAAACAAUGAAAAAAUCUAAUACAAUCUUAAAUACAUACUCUUCGCUAACCUAUAAAAUUCAUAUCUAAUUUUCCUGCCAGACCUUUCUAUUUCAUCCUCCUCCUCAUCAUUUAAGUUGAUGCAAUGAAGGCAGAUUUUUGAAAAAAAAAAUGUUGAAUUGUCUAAAUAACUGUUAUUUUUUUUCUUAUAUAUUUAACGCAUUAACAAAGCUGAUUUUGCAGAAGAAGAUGUGUGGUUGAGACUCCAAUACUACUGAAGUACUCCAUUCGUUUCAUAUUAAUUGGCCCAUAUUGACUUGGCACAUCUAUUAAGAAAAUAUUAAUUAGGGGCUUAUUUUAUCAAAUUAGCCUUAUUAAUUAUACUUUGAAAAUAUAAAUUUGAAUAAAUACACUUGUUUUAGUCAUUUAAUUUUACAGGUAGUAUUAAAAGAACAUAAUAAAAUUCUUUUGAUUUAAUCAAAGGGAUAAUUACAUUGAAACAAAUAUUUUUAGAAAGAAGAUCAACUAAAAUGAAUCGGAAGGAGUAAUAUUUAUAGGUUGAAGUUGGCUGCAAUUUAUUUAUGUCAAUAAUGUGAAGUAAUGGUGUUUAAUGUUAGAAGGGAAUAUGGGUAUAGUGAUAGUCACGUGAGAGAGUCGAAAGAAUGUAAAAGUAAUACAGUAACUUUUAAUAGUGGAGUAAUAAUGAAUAACAUAAUGAAGGUGUAUUUUAUUUAUUUAUUUUUGCAGUUGUUUGAACAUCAAUUAAGGAAAUAAAUGUGAAAAGAGAGAAAAAAAGAUAAAUGACAAUGCUGGCUAUAUAUCAUCAGCCUUAUAUUGAUUUUGAUUUAUCACCUUGUUCUUUUCUCUUAUAUAAACUAGUGGCAUACUGUUCAUGAGCACAGGCUUAAUAUUUUUUUAUUUUAUUUAUGUGAUGCAUUUUGCUUUUAAAUUUAUUCAAAAAAGAAUAUUUUUUUAUUUUUAAAAAUAAUUUAUUUUUACAAUUUUUGUUUUAUUUUUUAAUAAAAUAUUGUAUGAUCACAUAAAAUUUAAGAUUUAUUUAUAUCACGAAUUUUAGAAUAGUAUUCUAUUUUUUCUACUCAAUGCUUAAUCAAAUGAUAUGUUUUAUUUAUUUGUACCGAAUAAAAAUUAAAAUUUUGAGCAUUAAGGUCUUAACUUGUAACAAUGUGUUUAAUUUUUUACUUUAAUUCAAUCAUUUAGAUCUCAAUAAAUGUACUGCUUUCAUACUCCCUUUUUGACACAGAUAUGACUAUUGCAAAGUACCUCAUCCGAUCAUUUUUAAUUUAUCAUUUUGUAUCUAUUUAUCAUUGUUAUUGAAUAUUGUUUAUUAUCUAAUACUUAAAUGACUUAUAAUAACUAACUAGAAGAUGAUAUCAAAAAAUUAUUAUAAAAAUCCUUGUGAAAAAAAAUUAAACGGGCUCCAUAUAAGUCGUCACUUUAAUUUAAAACAUUAAAAAUCAACUUAUCAUUUUGUAUCUAUUUUGCAUUUUUAUGAAAUAUUCUUAUUUUUCUAAUGCUUAAAUGACCUAUAAUAAUUAAUUAGGGAUGAUAUAGUAAAAUUACGAGUGAAGUAACGAAACAGACAUGUCUUAAAUGACUUAUAAUAACUAAUUAAAAGUGAUAUAAAAAAAUAUAAAAAAUACUUAAGAAAAAAAAUUUAAGUGGGCCUAUAUAAAACAUCAAGUUAAUUUAUAACAUCAAGAGUUAAUUUAUCAUUUUACGUAUAUUUUACCUUUUUUUAUUAAAUAUUGUUAAUAAACAUUAUUAAUUUUCUAAUGCUUAGAUGACCUAUAAUAAUAAUAAUUAAUUAGGGAUGAUAUAGUAAAAUCAUGAUUGAAGCAAUGAAGCAGGCAUGUCUUAAAUGACUUAUAAUAACAAAGUAAAAGUGAUAUAACAAAAAAAUUAUAAAAAACACUUAUGAAAUUUUUUUAAAUGCGCCCAUAUGAGGUGUGAAGUUAAUUUAAAACAUCAAGGGUUAAUUUAUUAUUUUAUGUCUAUUUUUUUUUUAUUAAAUAUUUAUAAUUUAUUAAUACUUAGAUGACUUAUAAUAAUUAACUAUGGAUGAUAUAGUAAAAUUAUGAUUGAAGCAGUUGAAGCAACCAUGUCAUAAAUAUGUAUUUUAUUUUUUAUUAAAUAUUAUUAAUUUCUUAAUACUUAAAUAACUUAUAAUUAUUAAUUAAAAGUAAUAUGAUAAAAUUACAAUUGAAACUGAUGAAACAACAUAUUAAUCACGAGCAAUCUGCUGCUACUUAAUUGGACUUAUUAUAUAGGAGAAAUUUCUAUAGGUGAAUGUAAAGUUCAAGUUAUAAUUUAUUUAAAUAAUUAUUACUUUUAAAUAGAUAUGCAAAUAUAUGAGAUCAUACAAGUACUAAUAAAGUAAUGAGUCAAUUUUUUAUAUUAUUACUCAGCUUGGAAAAAUAUUUCAUUAAAAUUAUUUAUCUUUUUUUUCUAUUUCAAUAAUAUUAUUCAAGUUUGUGCAUUUUCCUUACAAACUUAUAAUUGCUAAAAGUGACACAAAAAUUUACCAAAAUAGUCUAUCAAAUUUAAAAUUUAAAUUUAAAUAGUUCUUAUUUUUUAUAUGAAAUUAAUAGGCCUCCAAUUAUUUUUACUUUUGUACUUCUUACAUUAGUUUUUAAUAUAUUUUAUCAAUAAGUGCAUAAAAUAAUUUAAAAGGACAAAAAUCAUAAUAUUAAAAACGAAUUAAAAAGACAAAGGAUGUUAAAUUAGAGCUUAAAAUAGGUAGUUAGAAUAUUUUAAAUAAAAUAAAUAAGAAGUACAUUUACUAUCUAAAUUGGUAAAUGUAUUCAGUUUUUACAGCCAAGUUAACGAGGCGAUAUAAUUUUCUCUGAAAUAAUAUCACAAGAUUGAUAAAAAUAAUAUUGAAACCUUAAAACACUUUUAAGUUACGAAAUAGUUAUAUAAAAUCACCUAAUUUUAUUUGAUAAUGAAUGAUUGACGCUAUUAUCAUGAUAUCUGUUAAUAUGCAUUGUUUGCUAUAAUAACUAAUUGUUUGCUAAUUAUCUAAACAAAAGAUAAAACCCAAGAUAAUAGGUAUAAACUAAUUGAAUAAAAAUAAAAUAGAUAAUGAAAAGCAAACGAAGAGUGAAUUUUUAUAUUAACCCUACACUCUUAUGAUAUUGAAUCGAUCAAGAACGAAUUGAGCAUGACACUCAACAACUAAGCAAAAUUAUUAGGCAUAUUCCUAUUCUAGCCAUAAAAUCAUUUUCAGAGUCAUGAGUUCAUAAAAAGGCUCUAUUCAAUUCUAUAUGCAAUUUAAAAUUUUCUCUCUUUGAGCUUAAAUCUAUAUAUUUAGUUACUAAUAUUUAAUAGGUGAUCAAGGAAUGAACAUAAUUAAGUGCAUGGUUGAAUAUAUCGAUAAACUAAUAUGAUAAGUCAAGAAACAAAACGCAGUACCCAAAUAAGAAUAGUCAUGAAAGAAACCAAAUCUGAAGAACAUGAAGUUUAGCUGCAUAGACAUGGUAAAAUAACAACAAAAUAAUCCAAGGAUAUAAAAUUAAAUAACAUGAAAAAGAAAACGUAAAAUCUAAUAAACUCAGGUCUCCACGGCACCCUAAUUAAUUCUUCUCAGGUUAAAAAGUUGCCUAAUAAUCAUAUUUAGGAUGUAUUUAUAGAGUACAUAAUUAUGUUCACUCAUUAAACCAAUAUCUAACAGAAUCAAGUAACACCGGCUCAUUUUUGAUGAUUUUCUUGCUUUUUUAAGUCAAUUUUGGUUUCAAAUACUCCCUCCGUUUCAUAUUAAUUGGCUCAUAUUGACUUGAUACAUCCAUUAAGAAAAUAUUAAUUAGGGGGUUUAUUUUACCAAAUUAGCCUUAUUAAUUAUGCUUUGAAAAUAUAAAUUUGAGUAAAUACACUUGGUUUAAUCAUUUAAUGUUAAGGGUAGUGUUGAAAAAACAUAAUUAAAUUCUUUUGAUUUAAUCAAAGGGACAACUAAAUUGAAACAAAUAUUUUUAGAAAGAGGCUCAACUAAAACGAAACGGAGGGAGUAAUUCAAAACUCAUCUAAUCAUCACAAUACACCAAUAUAAACACAAUCACUAUAAUUAAUACUCCAAACAAUGAUGAAAAUACUGAAUGUGAAAUAAAUAAUACUAAUUAAAUACAUACAUUUAAGGCUGAACAUCAAUAAUUUUAACUCGAAAUAUAUAUAUAUAUAUAUAUAUAUAUAUAUCAAACAAAUUGGGAUAUAAUUUCAAAUUUUAAAUUCACAAAGUUCAAAUUCUAAAAAAUCUGGUGAUCUCUCUCCUUCCCUUUCUCUUCCCCUUCUGAACGUCCAAUACAAAAAAGGGGAGGGGGACGAAGAAUACACCAUUUAACAAAUGAGCAAGCAACUCAUGCAAGGAACACCAUUUUAUUUGCAACGGUGGUAAAAAUUUCUUCCCACCAAAGUAAUUAUACACCUAAUGAAUAAAUAUUUGAUAGAAGUUUCACACAUAUUUUUAUUAAUUUAUUAUAAUAUAUAUAAUAUAUAUUAUGAUAUCAAUAUAAUUUAAUUAGAAUAAAUUAAAUAGCAUAAAUAUAAACACUUGCGACAAUGAAUAUUUACCGAAGUUAAAUCCAUUUAUUGUUUCUUGUCUUCAUACUUGUGGUGGGUGUAAAUAUUACCAAAAGUUAAAUGCAUUUAUAGUUUCUUCAGUUCUUUUACAAAAUAACAAUAGUAUUUGUAGACAUUAAAAUUUUGUGGACUCUACAAAAAAAAGUACAAUUUUUGUUAGAGUUCUUGGGAGGGCUACUCAAUCUAAACCCUAAAUUAUGCUUAUAUAAAGGGGGCAAAUAUCCCUUUAAAGAGGCAUCUUCAGUAUCCCACAAAUUCACGGGAUAUUCACAAAGAGAUCAAAGAUCUGAAAAGUCCCAAUAAAUUCAUGGGAUAUUCAUAAAGAUCAAAACCCUCUCUUCUUUAUAAUCAAAUAUAUCAAGAAGACAAACCCUCCUUUCAUGGAGAUCAAAUCCAAAUGUUCCUACGUUCGAGAAAUACGCCACUAACGGCCCUCGAAUUACAGGAAAAUUCAUAUCCAAAUCUUCAUACAUUCGAGAAAUAUGCUACUGACGACCCUCGAAUUACGGAGAAAAUCAAGGGGGGAACAAAUUUGUACCCCCAUCGUUUAUCAAUAAAACUGUUGUUUCUUCAUAUUUUUAUUUGUGGUUGAAGUUUAUUUUCCAUGAAUUAAAUUAUGUUGGAAACAAAUUGGCACGCCCAGUGGGAUUAUCUCUACCUCUCAUCUCAACUUUUCCAACUGCAAAGUUCAACAACACCGAAAUGGCUUCCAAGAAUGUCAACUCUCAAUCAACUGCUUCCAAGGCUGCUGAUUCAAAGUUCUCUGCUGAAGUAGAAAGCAUCUUUGGUGUUACUUUCGAAAUCUUAGGAACUGUCACAAGGAGCAAGGCAGGCUUGCUAAGACAACAAACACAUCUGGUGUCGUCCGCGCCAACUUCAGUUUUUGGAUCGUCAACCCUAAAAGGAAUGAAGUCCAAUGCAAGUGCAUCAGAAGGAGGAAGCAGUGUGACAAAAUUGCUUAAGAGGACUCUAGCUCUACUUGAGCAUUCCGAUUCCAAAUACUCUGGCACAAAGAACGAUGAUCGUUCAAGCAACUCAUCAUCUCCGACUGCACCGCAUAAGUUGAGCACCUCAAAGAUCAACUUGUGUGAUAAUCCAUGCUACUCUUCAACAUCUCCGGUGAUUAUACAAGUGAUGGUGACUGAUGCCUCAUCUAUGGAGAAGCAACUUGUGAAUCUGACAAAGGCAAUUGAGAGCCUGACCAAAUAUGUUCAGAAUCAAGAUGCUCGAAUUGAUAAGAUAAUGGAUAGGGUGAAAGGCCUGAUAGACGGGGAGUCUAGCCACGCUCCUGGAAAAUCUCUAGAAGAUCACGAGACAGAAUAUUCUGUGAAGCAAACACCACCGACUAAAGAGGUACGGGUUUCUUCUGAGGGGAUGAUCCCGAUUGAGCAAUUGAAGGAAUUCAUUGAAGAGACCCUCAAAGACAAGUAUGAUGUUGUCUCCAAGUCUUCCCUUAUGUAUGCCAAGCCAUACACUGCGAGGAUAGAUAGCCUCAAAAUGUCUGUCGGUUAUCAACCCCCCAAAUUUCAACAAUUUGAGGGCAAAGGGAACCUAAAACAGCAUGUAACAAUGCUGAAACUUACGGUGACUAUCUUGUCAAAUAGUUUAUUCAUUUCCUAAAAGAAAAUGCCUUUGACUAGUAUAUGGACCUUGAGCUUAAUUCCAUCGAUAGUUGGGAGCAAUUAGAGCACGAGUUCCUAAAUCACUUUAAUAGUAUAAGGCGUACAGUGAGCAUGGUAGAGCUCACAAAUACUUGACAAAUAAAGGAUGAAACAAUCAUUGACUUCAUCAAUAGAUGGAGAAAUGUUAGCCUCAACUGCAAAGAUAGGCUCAGCGAAGCUUCUGCAAUAGAGAUGUGCGUCCAAGGAAUGCACUGGGAACUUCUCUACAUCUUGAAAGGCAUUAAGCCUAAAUCCUUUGAAGAGCUAGCUACCCGAGCUCACGAUAUGGAGUUGAGCAUGUCUUCUGCUGGAAAGGGAUUAACACCUAUCCAUGACCCUUGGAUGGGAAAGGAUAAGCAGGAACCCAAAAGAUGGGGCAAGUUUGUUCCCGAAAAUGACAACAAGGAGUCCAUGAAUAUUGAUAUGUUUCCUGUGAAGGUAACCACAAAGGUGAGCAAGAAGCAAAGUGUGAAGACAAUUUUUGGAGCACGUUUGAAUCAGAAAGCUUUGAAGGAGAUACAAGAAAAAGAAUAUCCCUUCCUUGAUUCUGAUGUUGCUGAGAUUUUGGAUGAACUCCUUGAGCAUAAGCUCAUUGAACUCCCAGAGAUGGAAGUGUCCCAACGAAGCUGGGAGGACCAAUGACCCUAAUUAUUGUAAAUAUCAUAGGAUCAUAAGCCACCCUCUGGAAAAGUGCUUUGUCUUUAAAGAUAAAGUCAUGCAACUGGCAAAAGAGAAGAAGAUCUUCUUCGACGAUAAGACUACCACUUCUCAUCAAAUCUCCUUCACGUUUGGCUCAUUCAAUUAAUUCCAAAUAUAUAUCGAAGAGCAUAAUAAAAAAAUAUUAGAGCCUGACAGGUCUUCAAAUGACGAAGGUGAUGAUGAAGGUUGGACUCUGGUGACCAGACGCAGACACAAGAAGAUAAGUCCGCAAAAGGAGUCAUCCAAGCAACCAACCAGAAGGAGAAUAGUGAAAAAACUAAGAAAACAGAAAUUGGUUGAAUUACCAAAAAAGACAAGGGUGAUGGAGCUUCACCCUUAAAAAUCUCGGCGUUCGGCGACUUUUGAAGAAUUCUUACCAAGUUGGUUUCGUGUAAAGACUGCCCAAGUCAACCUUGAGACGUCCUAUUUUAAUACCACCAAAGAGGGGGCAAAGGGUGAGAAUCUACCCAUGGAAGUUCCUUCACCUUCUGAAAAGCUUGCUGAAACUCUUGGCAAAGAGGCACAUGUGUGUGAUACAAAAAUCACAUUCACAAAUAACGAUCUUCUUCUUGGUGAGGCCCUACAUAACCGUCCCUUAUACAUGGUGGGUCAAAUUCUAGGAAAGAAGAUCAAUAGAAUCUUGAUAAAUGAGGGAUCUGGAGUCAACAUCCUGCCUAUCCGCACGAUGAAGGAACUUGGCAUUGCUACUAGCGAACUAGACGAAAGUCGUAUAAUGAUCCAAGGCUUCAACCAAGGGGGCCAGAGGGCCAUGGGAUGUAUCAAGUUGGGGAUUCGUAUGAAUGAUUUUUAAUCAAACCCAUUGAUGCAUGUGAUCGAUACCAAAACUUCAUAUAAUAUAUUGCUUGGUAGGCCUUGGGUGUACGGGAACAAAAUUAUUUUGUUCUUUUACAUCAAUGUUUAAAGUACCUCGAAGGUGGAGUGGAAAGAAAGAUAGUUGCCUAUGACAAGUCAUUCACUGAAGAUGAGUCACAUUUUGCCGAUGCAAAAUUCUACUUAAAGAAUCAUGUUGUGGAUGAGAAAAGGGUUGAAGAUGUCACCAAGACCAAGUGUGACGAUCUUGCAUCUAAGAAGGUCGCGGUAACUGUCAAAAAAGUCCCCAACAAGUAGCCUCUCUCCACUUCAAAAAAAAAAAGUAUCACUUCUACGAAAAAGAAGGUAACUCCCAUUCUUCGCUACGUACAGAAGGUAAAGAAAGAGAAAGAUCAUCCAUCGGAUUCCCAAGAUAAUGUGCUAAAGGGGCUAACUUUACCUAUCAGGAAGAUUAAUGCAAUAAAUGCAUCCUCAAGGCUUCUUGAAGAGUUUGUGGCUCAAAAUCUGCCACAAGAUAUGACAUUCCCUACUAAGCGUACGAAAUAAGGCUUUGACUCAAAUGCAUACAAGCUAUUUGUAAAGGCUGGAUACAAUCCUAAUGAGCCAUCAAGGUUGGGCAAACUUUCGUUGGAGGGUAUAACCAGACAGGCAUGUGAAGGCCUAGGAUACGCGCAGCCACCUCCAAUAAGAAGGGCAGUCAGUAAUUACAUCACAGUGGAAGAAGAAUCCACUGCUGCUAAUAAAUCCCCCCCGUAUUUUACCGACUUGGAGGAUUAACUGCAAGAAUUUUUCUAUUUGAAAGGUUGGGACCUCUAAAUAAGAAGAAAAAUAAUAAGCGUAAGAGGAGUCGUUAAAGCACGAUGAUGCACUCUUCACUUAAAAUACAGAAGAAUUUCCAAAGUUUGAUUUCUUCUAGAAUGAAGCGACAGACAAAACUGGUAGUUUCAUGCAACAAGGUGUUAAAACCAAAGACUCAUAUUGUGGUUUAUACCAAGGAACGUGAGGAAGAUGAAGAAAGUGUUGGCUCCUCAUAUCAUAUUACGGCCUAAAAUGAGAAUGAAGCCUCAUCUCAAAUAAAGAUUGAUGAAGAGAUGGGAGACACUUUCUAAUGUCACCACAUAUCCAUCAGCGACGAUGAUCCCCAAGAGGAGGAAGAUGCUAGAGAUACUCCAUCUCAACUUAAAGAAGGAGUGAAGGCCAUAAUAGAUCCCUUAAAAGAAGUUAAUCUUGGAACCGAUGAAGACCCAAGACCAACUUACCUGAGUGUUUUUCUAGAGAUGGAGGAAAAAAUCAUGUAUAUGGAUAUACUCAAAAAAUAUAUGGAUGUCUUCGCUUAGAGUUAUAAGAAAAUACAUGGCUUAGAUUUGAAAGUAGCGGUCCAUCAGCUGGCGGUUAAGAAUCGUGCCCGUCCUAUUAAUCAAGCCCAAAGAUGCUUUAGGCCGGAGUUAGUUCCUUUAAUUGAAAAUAAAGCUAACAAACUCAUUGAAGCAGGUUUUAUUCGUGAAUUCAAGUAUCCCACAUGGAUUUUAAGUAUUAUUUCAGUACAAAAGAAGAAUGGCCAAAUUUGAGUUUGUGUCGACUUUCGGGUUCUCAACAACGUGUGCCCAAAGGAUUACUUUCCAAUCCCUAUACCAGAUUUGAUGAUUGAUGCCACCACUGGUUAUGAGGCAAUGUCCUUCAUGGAUGGUUCAUAUGGCUACAAUUAAAUCUGUAUGGCGCCAAAGGAUGAAGAACUCACUGCAUUUCAUACGCCCAAAGGUAUUUAUUGCUACAAGGUAAUGCCUUUUGGUUUGAAGAACGUUGGUGCUACUUAUCAAAGGUCUAUGCAGAACAUCUUUGAUGGCCUGCUCCAUAAAAAUAUUGAAUGCAACGUGGAUGAUCUAGUGGUGAAGUCAAGAAAGAGAGACGACUACUUAAAAGAUCUAAGAAUGGUAUUCGAGUUACUUUGAAGAUAUCAACUUAGGGUGAAUCCAUUGAAGUGUGCCUUUGGAGUUACUUCUAAAAAGUUUCUUGGCUUCAUUGUGCGAUAUCAAAGAAUUAAAAUUGAUCAAGACAAAGUUGAUGUAAUUUUGAAGAAGCCCGAGCCUCAAAAUAUUCUUGAGUUAAAAAACCUUCAGGGAAGGCUAGCAUAUUUAAGGAGGUUCAUCUCAAACCUGGCCGGGAAAUGUCAACCAUUUAGUCGUCUCAUGAAGAAGGACACUCCCUUCGAAUUGGACCAAGCUUGUAGCAAUGCCUUUGAGAGUAUCAAAUCAUACUUAAUAAAGCCACUAGUUCUUCCGGCACCCAUACCUGGGAAACCAUUGAUACUCUACAUCGCGGCACAAGAGUGGUCAGUUGGAGCACUACUGGCUCAAGAAAAUAGUGAAGGCAAAGAAAACUCUCCUUACUAGUUGAGCAGAAUGAUGACGCCGAAUGAAUUGAAGUAUUCUCUGAUCGAAAAUUUAUAUUUGGCAUUGGCUUUCUCAGACCAAAAGAUGAAACACUACUUUCAAGCUCAUGUUGUUCAUCGUUUGUCCAAGGCAAAUUCCAUUAAGUUUGAGAUGUCGAAACCAAUCCUCAGUGACCGACUUGCAAGGUGGUGCCUCUAAUUUUAGCAGUUUGAGAUCGUGUACAUGCCCCAAAAGGCUGUAAAAGGACAAGAAUUGGCUGACUUCUUGGCAGAUCACCCAAUACCUGAUGACUAGGAACUGAGCGAUGAACUUUCUGAUGAAGAUGAAAUGGUUAUUGAUGCUAGACCCUCAUGGAAGAUGUACUUUGAUGGUGCCGCACAUCGAGAUGGAGUUGGUGCCGGUGUAGUAUUCGUCACUCCACAAGAAGAGGUCAUCUCAUACUCUUUUACCCUUAUAAACCGUUACUCUAAUAAUGUUGCUGAAUAUCAAGUUUUAAUACUUGGACUUGAGAUGGCAGUUGACAUGAAACAACUGUAAUUACAAGUCUUUGGUGACUCCCAAUUGCUAAUCAAGUAGCUUUUGGGAAGCUAUGAAGUCAGAAAGCCUGAACCAUAUCAUGAUUAUGCACAGAAGUGAAUGGGGUAGCUUGGAAAAGUAACCCUCCAACAUGUGCCAAGGAGAUAAAAUAAGCAAGAUGAUGCCCUAGAUUCUUUGGGCUCAACCCUGACUCUUCCAAAUCAGACGCAAGUCACUAUCCGCCAAGAAUGGGUAGCACCGCCAGCAACUGAAGAUGAAGAAAAUAAAGUAGAAUACCUUAUUAUCAUAUCUGAAGCUGAAAAAGAAGAUUGGUGACAACUUAUCAUUGAUUACUUAUGUUAUGGAAUACUUCCAGAGGACCCAAGGAGAAGGACAGACAUUCAUCGUCGUGCGCCUCACUUCCUUUACUAUAAGGACACACUGUACAGAAGAUCAUUUGAAGGAGUACUCUUACGGUGUCUGGGUGAGGAAGAAGCAAUUCAAGCUUUGCAAGAAGCAAACUCGGGAGUGUGUGGAUCGCAUCAAUCUGGACCGAAACUUUAUUUUCACAUUAAAAGGAUGGGAUACUAUUGGUCAAUGAUGGUGAAAGAUUGCUUAAACUAUGCUAGAAUAUGCAAAACUUGUCAAUUUCAUGUGAAUUUCAUUCAUCAACCUCCUGAAGUACUACACCCAACUGUAGCUUCUUGGCCGUUCAAUGCCUGGGGAAUGGAUGUUGUUGGUCCGCUACCAAAAUCUUCUGUUGGACACUUGUACAUCUUGGUCGCGACAGAUUACUUCUCAAAGUGGGCCGAAGUUGUUGCUCUUAAGGAAGUAAAGAAAGAAAAUGUUGCAAACUUCAUCUGAGUGGAUAUCGUCUAUCGCUUUGGAAUCCCUCAAUAUAUAAUAACUGACAAUGGCAAGCCAUUUGAUAACAAAAUGAUGAAUAAGAUUUGUGAACUCUUUGGCUUGAUGCAGUGCAAGUCUUCUAUGUACCAUGCUGCCGCCAAUGGUCUAGCCGAAGCAUUCAAUAAGACUUUAUGCAACUUAUUGAAGAAAGUCAUCUCCAAAUCCAAACGAGACUGGCAUGAGCGAAUGAAAGAAGCUUUAUGGGCGUAUAGGAAAACUUACCGUACACCAACACAAGCAACUCCAUACUCAUUUGCUUUUGGAGUUGAAGCAGUCCUGCCACUUGAGCGUCAAAUACCUUCUUUGAGACUGGUUAUUCAAGAAGGGCUCACCGAUGAAGAAAAUGCUAAGUUGCAUCUUGCAGAGUUAGAAGCUCCUGAUGAGAAGAGGCUGGAGGGUCAAUAAAAUAUUGAAUGCUAUCAAUCCCGGCUAUCUCGUUCUUUCAACAAAAGAGUUCGCUUGAGGUGCUUCCAAGUUAGAGACCAAGUCCUUGCAGUAAGGAGACCCUUUAUCACUUUUCAUAAGUCUAGGGGCAAAUUUACCUUGAAGUGGGAUGGACCAUAUGUUGUACAAGAGGCUUAUUCAAAUGGUACUUACAAGUUUGUCGAUGCAGAUAGCGUGAGGAUUGGAUCCAUAAAUGCCAAGUUCUUGAAGAAGUACUAUCCCUAAAGGAAGAUAAAACUCCUUAAGGUACGAGUAUAAACUGCAUGUACACUCCUUAAGGAACGAGUAUAAACUGCAUGUACACUCCUUAAGGCACGAGUAUAAACUGCAUGUCCACUCUUUAAGUCACGAGUAUAAACUGUAUGUCUACUCCUGGCCCGCAAGAGUAUGAAAUGUGUACGGCUAAAAAAAAAAGAAAUAAAUAAGUUCGCUAGGUUGAAAACCUCGAAAUAGGUGGCCUAGGAAAAUGUUAGGACAAAAAAAAAAGUCACCCGGAACUAUGUUGUGACUUGAUCCUCUUACUGAGGUAAGUAGAUGCUUGAAAUUUUAUUCUGAGUUCAGUUGCAUGAGUGUUAACAAAAAAUAUGUUCCUGCAAGUAUCUACCAUAUGGAUACCAAGUAUGAAACUACUCUAAUUAAAUUUUGGACUUACUCUAAAUAUCAGUGACUCAAUGGAGGCAACCCAUCGAAAAGAAAGAAAGUUCCUUCAAUGAGAUUUGGAAUGUCAAAGUUCUCCAAGCCUACAACUAGAAGGAUCUCAAAAUUUUCAUGCCUUAAGGUAGACAAGAUUUGUUCCUUUACCCCUUAAGUAGGCCUCUAAUGAGUUUAUCCUUAAAGGAUAUUAAAAUUUUCAUGCCUUAAGGUGGACAAGAUUUGUCCCUUUGCACCUUAAGCUAACCUCUCACGGGCUUAUCCUUAAAAGGAUAUCGAAAUUAUCAUGCCUUAAAAUGGACAAGAUUUGUCCCUUUGAACCUUAAGAUGGCCUCUAACGGGUUUAUCCUUAAAAGGAUGUCAAAAUUUCCAUGCCUUAAGGUGGACAAAAUUUAUCCUUUUGCACCUUAAGCUGGCCUCUCACGGGUUUAUCCUUAAAGGAUAUCGAAAUUUCCAUGCCUUAAGGUAGACAAAAUUUGUCCUUUUGCACCUUAAGCUGGCCUCUAACGGGUUUAUCUUUAAAAGGAUCUCAAAAUUUCUAUGCCUUAAGGUGGACAAAAUUUGUCCCUUUUCACCUUAAGCUGGCCUCUCACGGGUUUAUCCUUAAAGGAUAUCGAAAUUUUCAUGCCUUAAGGUGGACAAAAUUUGUCCCUUUGCACUUUAAGCUGGCCUCUCAUGGGUUUAUCCUUAAAAGAUAUCGAAAUUUCUAUGCCUUAAGAUGGACUAAAUUUGUCCCUUUGCACCUUAAGCUGGCCUCUAACGGAUUUAUCCUUAAAAGGAUCUCAAAAUUUACAUGCCUUAAGGUUGAUAAAAUUUGUCCCUUUGCACCUUAAGCUGGCCUCUAAAAGGCUUAUCUUUAAAGGAUAUCGAAAUUUUCAUGCCUUAAGGUGGACAAAAUUUGACCUUUUACAUCUUAAGCUAGCCUCUAACAGGUUUAUCCUUAAAAGGAUCUCAAAAUUUCCAUGCCUUAAGGUGGACAAAAUUUGUCCCUUUGCACCUUGAACCUUAACCUGGCCUCUCACAGAUUUAUUCUUAAAAGGAUAUCAAAAUUUUCAUGCCUUAAGGUGGACAAGAUUUGUCCUUUUGCACCUUAAGCUGAACAUUGAAAAGGGUCCAUACUUAAAGAAAAUCACUGCACCGUCUUCAAGUAAAAUUAGUCAGACUUAAGGUGACGGAGGCCAAGUUAAACUCUCGCACCUUAAGCCGAUGUCCACCGUCUUCAAGUAAAAUUGGUCAGACUUAAGGUGACGGAGGCGAAUUUAAACUCUCGCACCUUAAGCCGAUGUCCUCCGUCUUCAAGUAAAAUUGGUCGGACUUAAAGUGACUGAGGCGAAGUUAAACUCUCGCACCUUAAGCCUAUGUCCACUAUCUUCAAGUAAAAUUGGUUGGACUUAAAGUGACGAAGGCGAAGUUAAAAUCUCGCACCUUAAGCUGAUUGUUGCAUAUUGCAAUCUGUUUUAAUUCUCAAAAAAAAAAAAAAAAAAAAAAAAAAAAAAAAAAAAAAAAAAAAAUAGAAAAAAUGUUACCUAUCAAAGCGUUGUGAUCUUAAAAGUUGUAUAUUACUAACUUGGAUUGAGACAAGAUGCUUUGAUGGAAAUAAAGCCCUUAAAAUCUAGUUUGAGGCAAUUAAAAUGCCCUUUGGUGGUGAUGGUCCCACAUCAAGAAAUAAAUUAUUCGGUGAGGCAAUGCAAAUCUGGAAUCCUUUGUCGGACAACAUAUAAAAUCGACUUCAAAAAAUCAUCUAGAACAAUAAAAAAAAUGUUAAAAUCCAAAUUUUGGAUAUGUUAUACAUGCAUGUUUUUUAAAUCUAUAGAAUCAAGCGGAUUAUAAUUUUGGUACUCUCACAUUGAGAUAUAAUUUUUUUGGUGAUGUCGCGUAAAUCUGAAAUUGUUAAUGCAUCAAAACUCAAUGUUUAUUUCGGGAUAACAUCUGAAAAUAUCUUGAUUGUAUUAAAUUAUAAAUUUUGGAUAUGUUAUAGAUAUUUGUGUCUAGUUUCACAAGAAUUAGACAGCUUGUGAUUCAUCCUUCCUACUUCAAGAUAUGAAAGUUUUAGUAAUGUCGCGCAGAUCUGAAAUUUUCAGCAUGAUAAAAUUUAGGGCUAACUUCAAAAAAUUAUCGAGAAUUAUAUUGAAGGAAUUUAAAUCUAAAUUUUUUAUAUGUUAUAGAUCUCGAAGUCUGAUUUCUGGAAUAUCAAACGGUUCAUAAUUUCAAUAUUCUUACAAUUAGAUAUUAAUUUUCUUCCAUUAACAUGCUGUGCUAAAAAAAAGUGACGAAAAUAAGAGAAAAGUAGGAGGGAAAGAAAUUACCUCAAUAUUGUUGACGGCUUGAAAACCCCAAAAUUGAUAUUGAAAAAGUGGGGAAACUACCUCCUUUUAUAGAGCUAUAGAAUGAAUGUUUUCUUCUCCAAUAUAAAUUCAGAUUGGAAUAACGUCCAUCUCCAAAUUCAAAUUGGAGAUUGUUUCUUUCUCCAAUAUAAAUUCAGAUUAGGUUAGCUUCUAUCUCCAAAUUCAAAUUAGAGAUUGUUUCCUUUUCCCAUACAAAUUCAAAUUUGAAUUUAUUUCCUUCUCCCAUACAAAUUCAAAUUGGAGGUUGAUUUCCUUCUUCCAUACAAAUUCAAAUUAGAGAUUAUUUUCUUCUCCCAUACAAAGUCAAAUUGGAGGUUGUUUCCUUCUCCAAUUUAAGUAUAAAUCAGAAGAGUUUUAUUCCUAGUUAAGUAAGGCAAUGAAAAAGUUUUCCAAAACUAUUUGAAAUUGGAUAUCAUGCCUCACCAACGUGUCUUAAGUAUAGAGAUUCAUGAAAAAAAAAUAAGAGAGCUUUGAGAGACAAUGUCAAUAUGGUUCGGCUUUAAAGUUUUUGAAUGAGGUGUUCUUAUGUAUGGAAAAUCGUUGAAGCACGAAGGAAACAUGUUUAAAUAAUCAUACUUUAAGGCUAGUCUCUAAAAUAUUAAAUGUCUCGACAAUUCUUGAAGUAGGGGACAUUUGUGGGCGAUUUAAUUUUAUUAAAUUUAAAUCCGUACAGAAUUUGGAUUAUAUUAAAUUCAAAAUAUAUUAGUCCCAAAUAAAUAUUGCAGAUUAAUAUAAUUGAAUUAAUUAUUUACGUUCAAAUAGGUAUGGAUUUAAAUAUGGCCCAAUAUUUAUUGGGUUAGUCCAUUAAUUUGGGCUACAAAUGAUGAGCCCACUUUACUAAGCCCAAGAUAUUGUCAUAUUCUAGAGUCCCAAAUAAGCACCACGUGUCAAAUGACGUGGCAUGCCAAGUCAAGUGAAGGAGCCAAUAGGACCGUGCCACAUGUCAAACUGAUGCAGGAGACCCAUGAAAUAAAAGCCCAUAAAAGGCGCCACAUCACUUAAAUCUGAUUGGUCAAAGGAAAUCCAUAUUCAUCAUGACUCUUCCUUUCCUAUAACUAUAAAUAGGGGCCUCAUAAUUUAGAAAAAAAGACCACCCCUCCCCUAGAUCUCUAACAAGUAGCAAGAGAAAGCUCGUGGAUCAAAUGCCGCAAUGUCUAUAAAAAGUUCAAGAAUUCAAAUCAAGUUCAUCAAGAUUCAAGAUCAAGACCGCAAUAUUCAAGAACAAGCUCAAAAGCCCUUGAAUUCAAGCACAAGUCAAGACCAAGUUCCUCAAGUCCGCAAACCAAGUUCAAAGUUAAGAUUAAGCUUUAAGCCCUUGAAUUUAUAUUUGAAAAGGCAAAUCAGAGGAUCCAUAGAGAUUGUAACACUCGCAUUGAAAUCAAUAAAUUGAUAGUUGCAAUAUUUUUCUUGUCUCGAUUAUUCAUUUUUCGGUCUCAAAAAUUUUAUUAUCCAACAAUUUGUGGGCAAUGCAAUUUUAUUAAAUUUAAAUUCGUACAAAAUUUGGAUUAUAUUAAAUUCAAAAUAUAUUAGUUCCAACUAAAUAUUGCGGAUUAAUAUAAUUGAAUUAAUUAUUUAAGUACAAAUAGGUAUGGAUUUAAAAAAGGCCCAAUAUUUAUUGGGUUAGUCCAUUAAUUUGGGCUACAAAUGAUGAGUUCACUUUACUAAGCCCAAAAUAUUGUCAUAUUUUAGAGUUUCAAAUAAGCAUCACGUGUCAAAUGACGUGGCAUGCCAAGUCAAGUGAAGGAGUCAAUAGGACCGUGCCACAUGUCAAACUGAUGCAGCAGACCCAUGAAAUAAAAGCCCAUAAAAGGCGUCCCAUCAGUUAAAUCUGAUUGGUUAAAGGAAGCCCACAUUUAUCAUGACUCUUUCUUUCCUACAACUAUAAAUAGGGGCCUCAUAAUUCAGAAAAAGGACCCCCCAGAUCUCUAACAAGUAGCAAGAAAAAGCUCGUGGAUCACACGCCGCAAUUUCUCUAAAAAUCUCAAGCAUUCAAAUCAAGUUCAUCAAGAUUCAAGAUCAAGACCGCAAUAUUCAAGAACAAGUUCAAAAGCCCUUGAAUUCAAGCACAAGUCAAGAUCAAGUACCUCAAGUCCACAAACCAAGUCCAAAUUCAAGAUUAAGCUUUAAGCCCUUGAAUUUAUAUUUGAAAAGGCGAAUCGGAGGAUUCAUAGAGAUUGUAACACUCGUAUGGAAAUUAAUAAAUUGAUUGUUGCAAUAUUUUUCUUGUCUCGAUUAUUUAUUUUUCGAUCUCAAAAAUUUUAUUGUCCAACAAAUUCUGGCACGCCCAGCGAGACCAAAUCUAUCCUUCAUCUCUUCUCUCAUAAAUUAAAUAUGCAAAUCUGUAGUCGCAGGAUAGUAAAGAUGGAAGCGGUACUUCAAGACUGGUUUUUGAGUUUCAUCAAGUCUCCACUCCGACAAACCUUGAAGCAGGGGGUAUUUGUAGACAUUGAAAUUUUGUAGACUCUACAAAAAAGGUUCAAUUUUGGUUAGAGUUCUUGGGGGCUACUUCCCCUAAAUCUAGCUUGAUGGCUACUCAAUCUAAAUCCUAAAUCAUGCCUAUAUAAAGGGGGCAAAUAUCCCUUUAAAGAGGCAUCUCUAGUAUCCCACAAAUUCAAGGACAUUCACAAAAAGAUCAAAGAUCUGAAAAGUCUCAAUAAAUUCAUGGGAUAUUCAUAAAGAUCAAAACCCUUUCUUCUUGAUAAUCAAAUACAUCAAGAAGACAAACCCUUCUUUCAUGUAGAUCAAAUCCAAAUGUUUCUACGUUCGAGAAAUACGCCACUAACGGCCCUCGAAUUACGGAGAAAUUCAUAUCCAAAUCUUUAUACAUUCGAGAAAUAUGCUACUGACGGCCCUCGAAUUACGGAGAAAAUCAAGAGAGAAGAAUCUAUGGAGGAACAGAUUUGUACCCCUAUCGUUUAUCAAUAAAACUGUUGUUUCUUCAUAUUUUUAUUUGUGAUUGAAGUUUAUUUUUCAUGAAUUAAAUUAUGUUGGAAACAGUACUAUAUUCCAGAAUGCAACUAUUUUGACAUAAAAUUGUUCAUUCACAUCAACCCCACAUAGCGUUUGAUCACCCAAGUCAACUUCACUCAACCUCUGUGCCUAGAACCAGUGCCACCCACUAAUAAAUAGUUAUAUAUAUAUAUUUUUCUCACCUGAAAUAAAGGAACUAGUAUUCAUUUACGACUCUAAAAUAUCAUGAAUAAGUUUAAUAUGGACCCUUUAAGCUUUUCUUGUAUUUUCUUUAACAAGUUCCAAGCGAUGAGAAUGAAAAGGUUACUGUAGCCAUAACAACAUGUACUAUUGAUGCUUCAAAAGCUUAGAUUCUAAGGAUGCUAUUAAAUAGAAAGUAUUUUUUUCCCCAGUUUAUAUGAAAGGUUUUAGACUAUGAGAGGCCAUGUAUUUGAUUUUGAUAUUGAAUUCGGUAAUAAAAUCCUCAAAGUUCUAUGAAUGUAAUUUAUAUAUUUAAAAACUAUAUAAAAAUAAUAUGAUAAAUCACCGUAACUAAUUAAUGAUUCAAAAUAUUUAAAAAGAGUGAGAAAAUAAUAGUUAAAAAAAAUAUUUGACUCAUCAAACAAUAACACAUUCGCAUAAAAUGAGAGGAAAAGAGCAGUAAUUCUGUUUUACUUUUGUAAGUUCCAAUUAUUAACUUAUUCAUGCCAAAAAUUUGGUAUGGUAAUUAAGAAAUUGGCCCCUAAGAAGUAAAUGUACGUGGCUGAUUUGGGACAUAUGGAAUUACUAUUUGUUAAGAAAAUGUUGCGUGGACCAUAUACUAUUCUACAUAUACUCAAGUUUCUCUGACUUUACUGAAAAAAAUUUAUCUCCUAACUUAAUUAUAUUAGUCUCCCUACUUAUUAUUAUACCUCAUUGUAUGAAAAUUUCAUAUUUUUUUAUCCGCAUCUAACUAACACUACAGUACAUAACUGUCAUUGUACCCAUCAUAUUUGAAUGGGUGGAUUUUCAUAAUUGGUGAUGUAACUAGCUAGAUCAAUUGGUUUUUACUUCAUUUGGAUGUGUGAUUAACCUUUUAAAGAUAACCUUUAAACAAUUUGAAGACAAUUAAGAAACAUGAACUUUGAACUAUAUAAUAUAGUACAAAAAAGUGAGGAGGGAGGUGGAUAUAUUUUUUUUGCCUUUUUGUGUUGGAAGGGUUGAGGGAGGUGGGGCAUGAAAAUGAUAGCCCCUCUAAUUUUUGGGAGAGAGACAAAAGCAAAUGAUGACUUGUCCACCAUCCUUCUCAUUUCUCAAUAUUAUAUUAAUAUAAAAUUAAUUUAUAUUAUACACUUUCUCUUUUUCAGAAAAAAGAAAAAAAUAUAAUUGAGUAGAUAUUUAAUUGUGGAAUUUCUUUUACACGUGGAAAAUGCUACGCAUUACGCAUUCCAUCAUGCUUAAGCUAGCGCUACGUCACUAUCCAAAACAUGUAACUAGGAGUAGUUUGGAGAACAUCAGUCGUUCGUCUCAUAUAAGUGAUUCAUUUUCUUUGUUACACACUCUUUAACAAAUUAUGUAGGUAAAAUGAUAGUUUUACUUAUUUAUUUCUAAGAAUCUUUUUCUUAACUUUUACAAACUUAUUACACUUUAAAAUAAUUAAUUCUAAGAGCAAAAAAAAUAUAUAUAUUUUAUAUAUUGACAAGUAAUUUAAAAAAAAAUAUUUUUGAUAUUAUGGACAAUCAAUAUGGAUCGGAGAAGUAGUAGGUAACAUAAAUACUUCUUUCGUUAUAUUUGACUUCAUUCAUGUACGUUAACACUAUAAUUUAGAAAUUUAGUUUACUACUCUCUCUAUUUUGAAAACAACAACCUACUACUUUUUUUUAAGUAUGUUUUAAAAAAAUUAAUUUUUUUUUUGUAAUAGUUUAAUUUCAACUUUACACGUAACAUGAUUAAGAUCAUGUAAUUAAAGAACACUUUGAUACAUUUGACAUAACAUUAAUUUAAGACUUCAAUUUUUUUUUAUUUUCUUAGACUCCAUAUUCAGUCAAAACAUGUCAUUCUUAUUUAAACGGAGGAAGUAAAUUACGAGAAUGCAUGAAUUAUACUUGAAAAUUUAAGUUUAAAUCUUAGUAAUUUAUAUAAUUAUUUAUUACAAAAAUAUUGUGGAUUAACUACACAAUAACAAAUAAAGAAAUAGAGAAGGAAAACAACACAACAAUUUAAUGAGAUUCGGUUAGGCAUAAACUUCCAAACAAAAAAGAGAGUUUUUCUAUUAUAUAUAAGUGAAAGUCCUUCUUACUACUAAUUUGUCUUAUUCUCUUUUUUUAAUUUUUUUUACUAUUAUUAUUACUACUUUUAUUUCUAUUUCUAUUCUAUUUAUUUAUUAUUAUUAUUAUUAUUAUUAUUAUUAUAUUUUUACUACUAAUUUUUCUCAUUCUCUUUCUUUCAUUAUUUUACUAUUAUUAUUACAACUAUAAUUUCUAUUUCUAUUCUAUUCUAUUUAUUAUUAUUAUAUUAUUUUUUUACUACUAUAUAUAUAUAAGCGAAGGUUUGGGUGACUAUCAAGUGUAUUUCGGUAAUUUUAAUCACCCCAACCUUCACUUAUAUAUAGUAGUAAAUAAAAUGGUUACACAUGCAUUUAUUUUUUUCUUAUAUUUAUCAGUUUAGUCCUCAUUUUUAUGGUGCAAUAAAAUGGUUACACAUUCAUAUUAUUUUUUCUUAUUUAUUAGUUUUGUCCUCAUAUAUUAUUUUAAUAAUAUUUUAAUUUAAACCUUUGUAAUUGAAUUAUACAUCGUAGUAUUUUUUUAUAAAUGUCUUUUUGUUCCUUAUUAGGGUGACUACCAAGGGUAUUUUGGUAAUUUAUGUAUUAUUUAAAUAAUAUUUUUACAUAGACCUUUAUAAUUGAAUUAUACAUGAUAGUAUUUUUUUGUAAAUAUCUUUUUGUUCCUUAUUAAACGACUACCAAGGUUAUUUCGAUAAUUUUAUGGUGCAAUAAGAGAAGGUUGGAGUGACUACCAAGGAUAUUUCGAUAAAUUUAGUCACCCCAAUCUUCACAUAUAUAUAGUAGUAAUAUCUUUUGUUCCUUAUUAAAUAACUACCAAGGGUAUUUAGGUAAUUUAGUGUUGUAAUAAGUGAAGGUUGGGGUGACUACUACGGGUAAUUCUGUAAUUUUAGUCACCACAACCUUCACUUAUAUAUAGUAGUAAAUAAAAUGGUUAAACAUAUAUACGAUUUUUUUCUUAUAUUUAUUAGUUUUGUCCUCAUUUUUAUAAUGCAAUAAAAUGGUUACACAUGCAUAUUAUUAUUUUUUUAUAUUUAUUAGUUUUAUCUUCAUUUAUUAUUUUAAUAGUAUUAUUAUUUAGACCUUUGUAAAUGAAUUAUACAUGGUAGUAUUUUUUUAUAAGUAUCUUUUAGUUCCUUAUUAAAUGACUAUCAAGGGUCUUUCGGUAAUUUUAUGGUGCAAUAAGUCAAGGUUGGGGUGACGAUCAAGGGUAUUUCGGUAAUUUUAAUCACGACAACCUCACUUACAUGUAGUAGUAAAUAAAAUGGUUACACUUGCAUAUGAUUUGUUUCUUAUAUUUAUUAGUUUUGUACUCAUGUAUUAUUUUAAUAAUAUUUUUAUUUAGACCUUUGUAAUUAAAUUAUACAUGGUAGUAUUUUUUUUAUAAAUAUCUUUUUGUUCCUUAGUAAAUGACUAUCAAGGAUAUUUCUAUAAUUUUAUGGUGCAAUAAAAUGAUUACACAUGCAUAUUGUUUUUUCUUAUGUUUAUUAGUUUUGUCCUCAUUUUUAUGGUGCAAUAAAAUGGUUAAAUGUGCAUAUUGCUUUUUCCUUAUAUUUACUAAUUUUGUCCUCGUUUAUUAUUUUAAUAAUAUUUUUAUUUAAACCCUUGUAAUUGAAUUAUAAUGGUAGUAAUUUUUUAUAAAUAUCUUUUUGUUCCUUAUUAAAUUACUUAUUUUUUAUACCUAAGGGUGUUUCGGUAAUUUUAUGGUGCAAUAAAAUGAUUACACAUGCAUAUUUCUUUUUUCUUAUAUUUAUUAAUUUUGUCCUAAUUUUUAUGAUGCAAUAAAAUGGUUACACAUAUAUUUUUUUUUCUUAUAUUUAUUAAUUUUAUCCUCAUGUAUUAUUUUAAUAAUAUUUUUAUUUAGACCAUUGUAAUUGAAUUAUACAUGACACUAGUUUUGUAUAAAUAUAUUUUUGUUCCUUAUUAAAUGACUACAAAGGUAUUUCGAUAAUUUUAUGGUGCAAUAAAAUGGUUACGAAUGCAUAUUGCUUUUUCUUUAUAUUUAUUAGUUUUGUCCUUAUUUUUAUGGUGCAAUAAAAUGGUUAUACAUGCAUAUUGUUUUUUCCUUAUAUUUAUUAGUUUUGUCCUCAUAUAUUAUUUUAAUAAUAUUUUUAUUUAGACCUUUGUAAUUUAAUUUUACAUGGUAGAAAUUUUUUAUAAAUAUCUUUUUAUUUCUUAUUAAAUUACUUGAUUUUUAUACCCCAAGAGUAUUUCGGUAAUUUUAUGGUGCAAUAAAAUGGUUACACAUGCAUAUUAUUUUUUCUUUAUAUUUAUUAGCCUUGUCCUCAUUUUUAUGGUGCAGUAAAAUGGUUACACGUACAUAUUAUUUUUUCUUAUAUUUAUUAGUUUUGUCCUCAUGUUUUAUUUUAAUAAUAUUUUUAUUUAGACCUUUGUAAUAGAAUUAUACAUGAUAGUAAUUUUUUAUAAAUAUCUUUUUGUUCCUUAUUAAAUGACUACCAAGGGUAUUUCGGUUAUUUUAUGGUGCAAUAAAUAUUUCGAAAUCGACGUAUGUCUCCUCAACUUAUAUAUUUGAAACUUUCAAAUGAGACGUGCAUCAUUUACUUUUUCAGAAAUGUCCAAGCGAAAAACGUGCCGUCAACUGUAGUUGCAACAAUCUAACUAGAUUUUUAGCCACUUAUAUAAUCACUUUUGUAUUGGUUGAACCACUCUAACCAGCUCAAUUUUGUUCCACACUGAAUGUAUAUAUAGACCACUCUAGCAAACUCAAUUUUGUUCUACACUAAAUGUAUAUAUUAUGUUAACAUCGAUUCAUUGUACUACAUUUUUUUUCAUUUACUCCUAUACUAAAUAAUUAAAACAAGUAGGAAAUAAUCUUUUCCAAUGUUGAGUCUCUUUUGUGCAUUAGUUUUACCAAAAUGCUCGUGCAACAUCUUCUCCAAUGUUGGAUCUCUUUUGCACAUUAGUGUUGCCAAAAUGCCCGUGCCUUGCAUGGGCACGGGUAUCUAAUUUACUAUUAAAGAAAAGAAUAAAGUGUACAAUGUUUUAGAAUCCUUAAUUAUAUUCUCCAUGUAUAGAUUUCACAUAGUCCCAAAUUUAUAAGGACUACAUUUUUUUUUUGAGAAAUCUAUUAGAACAAAUGUUCUCCUAAACUAAUAAGGAAUAUGAGUUUUCUGAAAUAUACAAGGAAAAAUUCAAGAUAUAAUUAACAAAUCUUUUCAAUAGAUUGAAUUCCCUUCAUCAAUAGGAACAAAGUCUCUCUACCUUGCCUUCAGCCUUUGAAAGAGCUCACUAAGUACUGCAUUAUCAUUCAAGUUUAGGCAAUGCCUUUAUUGGUUGGGACCCCAUUGGACAUUCUAUCUGUUGGAUUAUCAUCUGUAGAGGCUAUAUUCACACGAACAUUUUCUUUGUAGCCUACUACUCUUUGUCCCUUUGAUAAUAAAUCAAACUUUCAUGUUCGAUUCUUAUGAAGUAACUCAAUCUCUAAAUUGAUAAGCUGAACAACUAAAUAUCCUCAAUUUUAUAUAAUAACAUACAAACUGUAUCAAUCCUUAAAGGAGUUUUGAAUUCAAUAGCCAUGAACGGAAAUUUAUUGACCAAAUGACAAGUUGUAACAAUUGCUUCAACCCAAAAAUUAUUCCUAACACACGAGUGUAAAAACAUACUUCAUGCAUUAUCACAAAUCAUUCUAUUCAUGCGUUCUGCAACAUUAUUUUAUUAUAGUGUCCACGAUAAGUGUGGUGUCUCCCUAUAUCUUUCCUGUUGCAAAAUUUAUUAAACUAGAAGUUCUAAAAUUUUAACUUAUUAUUCGUCUGAAUAUGCUUAACUUUUAUUUCAAUUUGCCUUUCAAUCAUCGCCUUUCAUUUAUCAAAUGUCUGAAAUGUCACACCCUUUAUUUCAAAAAAUAUACCUAUUUUUGAAUAAUCGUCAAUCAAAGUCACAAGUACCCGUCACCACUUUUGAAGAAAACUUUAUUUGGAUCCCACAAGCCUAAAUGUAUAAUCCAACUUGUCUUUAUUCUUAUGCUCUGCCUUCUUGCUAAAUUUUACCCGUGUUUGCUUACCAAACGCACAAUGCUUACAAAAAUUCAAAGCUUAAUUUUUUGUAUAUAUUCAACAAAUUUUACUCGUUCAAUAAAAAUAAUUCCUUCUUACUCAUAUGACUAAGUCAAAAGUGCCACAAUUUCGACUGUUUCAGAUUAUUUCUUUCAGAAGCUUCAAUUAAUUUUCGUUCAAUUACACUCGCUUGAAAAUAAUACAGUUUAAAGUGAAGCUUAUCCUUCAUGAGUACCAUGGAGUCUUUGUACACUUAUAAAUGUUUCAUUCUCCGAGUGACAUUUAUAUUCUUGAUCAACCAAAAUUGAAAGAGAAAUCAAAUUCUUCUUUAUCCGAGGAAUGUGACAAUACUCAAUAUUUCUGUUAUUGCCAUCAAACAUUCUCAAUUUAAUGUACCAAUCCCCUCUACCUCUAAUGAAUUAUCAACACCUAAAUAAAUAAUUCUACUAAUUUAUUUGUACGUUGCAAAUCAAUUCUUAUGUAGACACAUACUGAAAGUUAGACUAGAAUCAAGAACCCAAGAAUAUAAUUAUGCCUAUGAACAAAACUCACAACACAAACUUUUUCUACAUAUUUGUUGUCAUCAAAAUUACUAUUAGUGUCGACAAUAUUUACUGAGUAAUCAACUUUAUGCUUUUCUCUCUUAGUUUAGGACAAUUUCUUCUGUAGUGAUCCUGUUUUCCGCACUCAUAGUAGUUAUGCCUGCUUACUCUAGACUUCGAUCUAAUAUUGAAUGAUUUUCUAUAAAAAUCAUUUUCACCUACUCCCAAGACCUUCACUCUCGGCUCUAUUAUUUGGAAAGCUCUUCCUCAAGUCCUUAGAUUUUAGUGCAUUACUAACAUCAUUUGUCAAUCAUUGCUUAGAAUACAGAUCUUUCAACUUAUUUUAUAUCGUUGCUGCUGACUUUUUUUCAACAAUUUCACGAAAAACAUUAUUUGUAACGCUUAUGAAGAUUGUACAACCUCUUUUUCUGGUAGAAGCUAUUUGUUAGUCAUUGCUUAGAAUAUAAAUCUUUAAACUUUUUUCAUAUCGUUGCUACUAACUUCUCUUCAGCAAUGUUAUGAAAAACGUUAUCUAUAACGUUCAUGAAGAUCGCACCCAAAGCCCUCUUCUUUGAAUUUGCUUUCUCCGAUUCUUUCAACUCUUCUAGAAAAGUCUCCUCAAUUGUCCUUCAUAACCCUUGUAACACCAAGGACAAUUUCUCUACUUCGUACUUCUUUAAAGAUGAUGCAAAUAUCUUAACUCUUAAUUAUUGUAAAAAAUUCUACCUUGCUCUAAUAUCAAUUGUUGCAGAAAUAUUGUGGGUUAACUAGCACACAAUCACAAAUAAAGAAAAUAGAAAAAAUAACAAAAAAAUAUAACGAGGUUUGGCUAUACUUAAUCCACCAAACAAAAGCAGAUAGAGUUUUUCACUAUGAAAGAAAAGAAGAAGUGUAUAAUAUUUUAUAAUCUUCGAUUACAUAUCUUAUAUAUAGGUUUUAAGUAGUCCCAAACCUAUAUGAAAAAAGAUUUUCCCAAUUCUACAAAGACUAUAUUUUUCUUUUCCAAAUCUAUUAGGAUAAAAGGUCUACUAAAUCAAUAUGAAAUAUGAAUUUUUAAAAAUAUACAAGAAAAAAAUACAAAAAAUAAUUAAAAUUAUCUGAUAAAACUAGUAUUGAAAAAGAUAGUAAGUUUAUCAUAAUUUGUUAAAAUAAAUAAAUAUUUUUAUAUCUUAAUUUGUUAAAAUAAAUAAAAUAUAUUUUUAAUAUAAAGCUUACGUAAAUCUAUAUCUAUAUCUAUAUCUAUAUCUAUAAUAUAUUAAAAAUGUGAAGGGUCUUUAAAAUAUUAUUUUAACUUUUUGUCCUUCAUUAAAAAAAAUUCACUUUAGACAAAACCGUCUUUUUACCUUUUUUUAUUAUUUUAAUAAUAUUAAAUAUUGACUAUAUUAUCCUUCCAAAAAAUAUCUCUCCUCACACAAAUAAAAUUCCUUUUCCAUCAUCUAAAAAAAUCAACCACAUUUAGAAAUCAAAAAAAAAGAAAAAAACACACGAAAAAAUAUCUUCCCUAACAUGAAAACCUAAAAAUAGUAAUAAACUCACUCAUCCCCUAGUCAUUAAAUAAAACACCCCCCACGUGAAACCAUAAAAAAGUAAUAAUAAAAAAAACUCUAUUCUUUCCCUACUUGAUUUUAGCAUAAUCUUUUUCAUGCAAAAUAUGAUUAAAAAACUCAAAAAUCGACAAACAACAAUUCCUAUUUCAUGUAAAAUAGGUUUUAUCGUACCUUUAUCAACUUUUAUGAAAGUCAUGCUACUUUUAUUUUUAACCAUUCUCACCAUACUUUUCUUUCAUCGAUAAUUUUUCUCAAUUUUGUCUCUUGUCCAGGUUCUCUUCGUCAACUCACUUUAGCUUACUUGUCAUAAAAUCUUUUUUUUUUUGUAUUGUUGAUUGUUGCUUGCUUAUUUAUGAUUUAAACAUAAUAUUAAUUGUUAUGCCAAUAAUUUUGCUUAUAUUUUUAGUUGAUCUAAUUCGUGUUAUUAGUUGAAUUUAUAUUUAUAAUUAAUUUAACUUAUAUUCUUUGUUGGUCGAUUAAUAAGUAGUGCUCUUCCUUGAUUAAAUAUAUGAAAACGACUCACAUUUUCAGGUAUAAUUAUUUGCUGAACUCAUCAAUUGUUUCCUUCUAAAUCAUACGUUAUUGUUUUUAUAAUUCAUUUUUAGGUUACUAUAGCAAUGGACCCAAGGGAAAGAGUGUAUUACAUGACAAGCGCAAAAAUGAUGGUCCACUAUUAAUGGUCACAUAGAUUGGUCACAUUACAAAGUGCACAAUCUAUUAAAAAGUGCUAGAGCAUAGAUUGGUCACAUUCCACUGUCAUGACAUAGAUUGAUCAUCUUUUUAAAAUGAUGGCAUAUAUUUGUUUCGGACUUUAAAAUAUAUAUGUGCUUACACUAAAAUAUAUGUUUAUGUUUACAUUAUUAUAUUAAAGUUGAAAAGAAUAUUUGAAAAGUGAUUUGAACUUUUUGUACUUUAUUAUAAAUCUGUGCAAUAAAUAAAAUUAUUUAAUUUUAAAUAAUCACACAUUACACGUGCGAGAUAUACACAGUUAAAAUAGUAAAUAUAAUAAAGGAAGUAGAGUACCUUAUAAACGUUUCUUUGAUUUUUUUAUUUUUUUUUUGCUUUUAGACUUUUUACAGACUACAGUAGUUAUAAUGAUAAGUCAUCACAUCCAAAAUUCGAAGCGAAAAUAGUACUCAUGAAGGAUUUUUAAAAGUUAGAAAGAGAAUUGUCAUAAUAUUGCUGAAGUUUACAUUUCAAAAGUAUAGUAAAUUUUGUCAAAUCUAAAAAAUUUUGACCAGAAUAAAAGACCAAACUCUAAGAUUUUCUUUUCGUGAGAUCUAAUAUUUCACAUAAUCUUCUAUUCAGUCUGACAAUUUACCACAUUUUCUUUUCAUGAGAUCUAGUAUUUCACAUAAUCUUCUAUUCAGUCUGACAAUUUACCACAUGGUCAUCAUGGAUUUCACAUUUUUCUGAAUAAUUAUCCCUUUAUUCCUCUACAAUAAUUCUGAUCUUACUUGUCGAUUUUUUUUGUCUCUGCUGAUAAAUAUCUAUAUUAGAAUUCAAUUAAAUUUAAAUUCAGAUUAAAAAGUUUCAUAUUACAGGAGGAAGGGGGAGGAGAGAGGCAGAGGUGGAGAAAGGUAAAAGCGCUCCCUAACAAAGGCGACAUCAUAAUCAGAAAAAUCAAAUCUAAAGCCUCUAAUCAACAAUAAAGGAGUAAUUACCACUCCAUCACAACGUUCUUACUCGUCUUAUUCUCUCAAAUCCGAUGCAUCCUACUUCCUAGUUCUUCUAUUAUUUUCACUAGGAGAGGACAUUACUAAUACUAUUAUUAUUUUUAUUAUUUUGUAUAUAUCCGAAAUAUUAACUCAACUAUGUUGUACGUAUAAUAGGAGGCCUAAGAGAAAAUUGUUUUUCAUCAAAACUUUGUCAUAACUCAAACCUGAACUUCUUGUUGAAAAUUUAGAAAUUCGUAUAUACAUCUCACCAUAUUCUUUAAAGGUCAUAUAUUAUUAAUGUAUACGAAUUAAGAGUAACCGAUACAUUAUUUUCUCAAUUGUGGCAUAAAUAUGAAAUAUCACUUCUCCUCAUUCUUUGAAUUGACAAAUUAUCAAAUUUGACUUGUUUUUAUAUAUUGCGAAUAUUUAUACAUGAAUUGUCCAAAUCAAAGUUAUCAAACGCGAUCUUUCAGUACAAGAAGACACAAAAUGCUACUAAACAGCUGCUUAUUUAGGGUGGGAAUCACCGGAUUCACUUGAACACAUGCUCUUCUUGUUAGGAUUUUUGCCCUGAUUUUCUUACCAAAUUUAAGUUUUACUUUUCUUGAAAGAAAAAUAACAGUAAUACCAUAAUUGCUUUUACUUUUCCUGAAGAAAAAUAUAAAACUUUUUCAUAUUUGGCUAACCUCUUUUUAAGAGGAAAGAUUUUGGACAUCUAUAAAUAGAAGACCCUUUCUUAUGUCAUAACACAAUAACAUCCACAAUGUAGUUAUCAAAGAGUCUUGUUUAGGGGGAGAUUUCCCUCAAUAUGUUUUAUGUUUUUCCAAUAGGUUUUAAAUUUUUUCAAUAUUAUUUUUUAUAUGUAGGUCGUUUGACCAAACCAUAUUAAUAAUAUAUUUUUAGUAUUUAUUUUUCGUUGUCAUCUGAAUUAUCACCAUAUUAGUUUGCAAACUUUAAGCUUCCGCAUGACGCCCUCUCGGUUUCGAACCCAACACUUCUAUCAUAUAUAGUAGCUAGUGUGAUAUUUUAAAAAAAAUAUUUAAAUAUAAAUUUGUGUAUCCAAACUCAAAAAGUAUCUAUAAUAUAUUAAAAGUGUGAAGACCCUUAGAAAAGUUAUUCGAACGUUUUGCCCUUCAUUAAAAGUUUUUUCUUUAGACAAAAUCGUCAUUUCACUAUUUUCUUAAACUAUUAUUUAAUUAUAUUCAUAAUAUUAUCUCCUAAAAUAUAUGGGAUCAGAAGUUUAAAAUAUAUGGUAAGACUUUUUCUUAAAUUAAAAGUCCUAAAAUAUAUGAUAAGAGAUAAUUCUAAUCAAUCAUAGUUUACCUUAAAUAAAAAUUGUAUCUUAUUAGUCCAAUUGAUAACGACAACCAAAUCCACGUUGUUGUAUAGUUUAUCUUAAAUAAAAAUUGUAUCUUAUUAGUCCAAUUAAUAACGAAACCCAAAUCCACGUUGUUGUAUCUUGUAUAUAAUUUUUCCUUUUCUAACUAGGAAAAAUCCACCCUCACGUUAGCAGCACAUAUAGUACUUUUCUCAGAGUUUAAUGUUAUAAUACAAGUUGUAGAUGAUCCUUCAUCAUUGUGUGCAUCUUUACUUAGUGGCUUCUUUGAAUUGUAUCUGGGCAAGUAUAAAGAUCCAACCAUCAUUUUAGACAUAGCAAUUUGUUGCUAUAAAUAUUAUUUGCCAAUGGAUCAUUAGUUUCGUAUGAAGAAAAAUUGAAAUACCUCUUAUACUAGAUGGAUACUAGAUGGAGUAACGUACAAGUAAAUUAAUGGUCUUUUUCAUAUUGUCUUUUUGGUAUAAGGACUUAUACUUAUCAUUGGGAUAAGUAUAUUAUUAUGCUCGUAUAUGUGCAAAACUAACGAUGCAUGAGUAUUACUUAUUGUUUGCAUUCACAAAGAAGUAGGCUUAUAUAAAUAGUCUAAGAAGAGCUUUGAGAACACAACUUGAUGGCCAGGAACCGGAGAUAAUAUAGACUUUGAAGGAUUUUGUUAAUGAGGUAUGACUUUUGUUCUAUAUGCUUGUUGUCUUAAAGGAUUUGUUUUCUCUGUUGUAUUUUCUUUUUUUCAUAACUACUUUAAUUUAUUAUAUUUAAACUGAAGAUCUUUCGAAAAUAAUUUCUUUAUCUCCCCAGGUAGUGGUAAGGUUGCAUUAAAAUUAAGUACAUAUGUCCCCAAGUGCAACUUUCUAUUCGAUUUUUUUUUAAUUUAAUGACUCAAACCGUAGAAUUUUUUUCUUCAAAUAUAAUGAUGUUGUGGAUGGAGAGGAGUAAAUUAUAUAGAACGGUUAUGUAGAAGUCUGAAAAAGGGGCAAAGUUGGUGGAAGAUGAACACAAAAUUUUUCCUUCACACGAGUAAUAACUUUGGAGUAGAAUCUUUACUAAUAUUCUUAUAUUCAUAUAAAAGAAGAGACCUAAUUAACUUAGGUUUAAAAGGAAAAAAUAAUAAUAGAAUAAGUAGGAAACUUAUCAUAUUAGUAUUGAUAUUAGAAAGAUUUAAAACUUUAUUAAUAUCUUCUUUUUUUGUUUCCAUACAAUUGAUUGUUCCUAUUCAAGUGAGUUCUUUAAGCUAUAUUCAUAUUAUUUUAUAGCAUGUGAUAAUUUUUUCUUGAUCUAGUUUAUUGUUUAUUUUGUUUGAUUGAAGAAUUUUUUUUUUUAUGAUUACAAUCUUAUUAGUAAUUAUAAUCAAAUAGAUGAAUUUGUUUGUGAUUUGAGGUAAAUUUCUACAAUUUUAAUAUAUUCUUGAAGUUUGCAAUAAUAAACUAUCAUGUAUUCCUGAUCUGACAAUUGCUUUCUGAGAAGUUUUUUUUUUUUUGAAAUAUUGACGGUAUCUAUGAUUGAAGAGACAAAUUUGCUUGUGAUUUGAGGUAAACUCUCUAAAAAAAUUUAUAUUUUUUUAUAUUUACAAAAAUAUCAUGUAUAGUUUAUAGAUAAUUGUUAAUUGAGAUUUUUUUUUUGUGAUUGUCAUAUAUUCUUGAAGUUUAAAAUGAUAAAUUAUCAUGUAUUCGAUAGAUAAUUGUUAAUUAAUUUUUUGUGUGAUUAUUAUUAAUAACGAAGCACUUACAAUUAAUAAUUUGAAAUUGAUUUAUUUAUAAAUUUGAACAAAUACUUUGAAUCAUUACAUUCCGUCAUAAGAAAUUGGUUAGUCAUUCUGAUUCUAUAUGAAUUCUGUUUUAAAAUUUAAUUAUAUGCAACUUUUUCAAUUGUGAAUAAACUAUGAGAUCUAACAUAUGAUCAUUAUUUUGUAACAAAUGAUUCUUUUGGUUGAUUGGUAAGAGAGACACGUGCAAAGUACAUAUACCACUCUUAUUAUGUGGAAUAUUAAAGAAUUUGAAAUUAAUAAAAGUUUUUGUUGAUUUAGGUAUACCUUAUAUGGAAAAUAAUUUCUACAAAUCAAAAUAACUACAAAUUUAGUCUAAAACUUGCUAUUUUACAUAAUAAAUAGAUUUAAAUAGGGAUUCUAUACAAACGACUAUCAAAAUUUGCCUAAAUUGACUAUAUUUUAAUACAAGUUAAUUUGGUUUAAUACUACACCCAAUAAAUUAAAGUUGCAAAUUUACCGUAAAUAAGAUUAAUAAUUUACACCAAUUUUUUAAAGUAGACUAAUAAUUUACAUCAGUUUUAAAACUGCGUACUUAAUAAUAUAAGUAUAAUCGUGAAUUUAUUUUUUAUAUACAUUCAUUGUUAAUUAACGUGAUACUCUCUUAUGUCUUUUAUAUGAUUUGUAUGAAUAUAUUAGUUUUAUAUUUAAAUAUUUUUCAUAUGUUUUUUUUAUUAGCACAAAUAUAUUCUAUAGACCAUUUGAUCAGUUUCACGACGUUGAAAGAAAAUCUAUAUGCAAUUUUAUGCUCCAUAAAUUUUAUAUGUGAAAUUAGACCAAAUAUAUUAUUUAUUUAUUUAUUUAUUUAUUGUUACAAACAUAUUCUGAAGCAUGCAACUUGUCCGAAAAAGACAAAGAGUUUGGUGAACAUUCACAUACAUGCAUAAGAAAGCAAGAGGCAAUAUUUUCAACAACUUGAGUUGCAAUAAUUGUAACUAAGACGAAAUUCGACGGGGCAAAUAAUGAUUAUAGAUGGAUUUGUGUAAAAUUUGGUGGAUAUAAGGAAGGAGCUUUAAUAUGGCAAAUGUCAUAUCACAAAUUGUGUCGACAUAACUUUAUCUUUAAUUCUCGUUGAGAGAGGAAUCUAAAAUUUAAAUAAAAAUUAUUAAACAGAUCACAUGAAUUUGUACGUAUAUAAAUACUACACAGAGAAAAGAUAUUUAACGGUAUUAUAUUUUUAGAGAUAAUUAUUACUGAUAAAUAUAUUUUAAUAUUCUUUAUAAAUGUCCUUAGAGUCUAUAACAAAAUUGAAUCCAGUGACAAUUAACUAAUAGAGAUAAAAUAUUUAGCAUUCUUUGCUAAAAUACAUACCUAUUAGUGAUAAAAGCUUUUAUCGUAGUAAUGCAACCUCUAAACUUAAUAGGGCAAACUUUAAUUAAUCGCUAAUUAAUAGUGUGAUCUAAUUAUUAGUUAUUAAUGAAAAUAGGUGAAGAUUAUGAGAAUAGUGAUUUAAAUUUCAGUAUCAACAUAAAAUAUCAAAGUAAGAAACUUUUUCUUAAGUAAUUAAGAAACUUUUCUUACUUUUCUUAAGUAAUUAAGAAACUUUUCUUUUAUAUUUAUCUAGAAAUUUGAAUGAUCAACAUUACCUUGGUAUCUAUACUAAUGAGAAAUAGUUAUAGGUAUUUGAUGCAAAUAUAAUAAUAAUAAAAAUAUAUUCAAUAUAAUUAAAAAGAUUGUUUGGUGCAAUAUAUUAAAGAUUUUUUAUGCGUGAAAUUUUGAGAAGGACCAAAUUACAAGUAUUUAUCACACACAAUCUUAUUCUACAUUUCUUACUAAUAAGACUAAAUUAUGUAUCCCAUGCAUACGUGCUAUGCACGGGCCCAACAUUUUUUUUGUUGAAUAAUAUUUCAUGAUUUAUUGUCAAUUAAACAUCUUAUAAACCUUUUAAAUUGAAAAAAAUAUAUAUCAAUAUACUUUUUGUGUUAUGACAAAAUAAAGACACAUUUUCAAAUUUUUUUUCAUUAUGUUUAUUUAUUUGGAUUUUUUUUUUUUUUUUGAGAUCUUAGUAAUAAUAUCUCAAAAUUCUCAAUCACCUUGCAAUAAUACUUAUCAUAUUUGAAACUUUACAUGAUAAGUUACAGUAUAUUAAUUUUUUUAUCCGAUUUAUAAUGUUAUUAUAUAGGUUUUAAACUUUUUAUUUUUAUUUUUAAAAAUAUUGUACACCAUUAAAUCUAGAAAUUAAUCAAAUUGUCCUAAAAAUAUUAUUUGUAGCAUAAUUUUUUAUUAUAUUUUAAAUAUAUGAUUAUAUUUCUUUAGUAUUUUCAAUUGUUUUAAAAAAAUUUGGUCCUUGAUGAUAGAAAUUAAUUAUACUUCAUACUUUUCUCUCGUUUCAUUUCUUUUUUUUUUUUAAUUGAAAAAUUAUUAAUUAUAUAUUUAUAUAUAUUGAAUUUACGUAAUAUUAAAUUUGUAGUGAAUUAGAUAAAGUAUCAAACUAAGUUUGAGUAUAGAAGAAGUAUACUCCUACAUAAUGAAAGAAGUAUACUCCUACAUAUAUGAAAUGACUAUAUAUUUUUCAAAAUUUUCUUUUAGAUUAUUUUCAAGUAGUGUAUUAAAGAGGGAGAUCUUUUCAUUGAGAGUAUUUUAAUAUUUUAUAAAAAAAUAAUUUAAAACAAAAUUUAUAAUCUUUUUGAUUGGAUAAUUGUCAACUAAAAGCAGCAAUUGAAAUUUAAAACUUGUUAAAUUGAUAUUAAUUUGAAAAAAUAUAAUAAAUAUUAAAUUGUAGAUUAUCUUGAGAAUUUUCUUUGGGGUUAUAUGGUUAAGAUGAAAAGUAGUGCAUUUUAAAGGGAAAAAAAAAAGAUUGAAUGAAAAAUUGGACCACAAAAAGAGAUAGAAUUUGGAUGAUAAAUUUAUAUUUUAUAUUAAUUUUUUUACCCGAUUUAUAGAAUUAUUAUAUAGGUUUUAAACUUUAUAUUUUUAUUUUUAAAAAGAAUUUACACCACUAAAUUUAAAAAUUAAUCAAAUUAUUCCAAAAAUAUUAUUUGUAACAGAAUUUCUUAUUAAAUUUAAAAUGUAUAGUUAUACUCCUUUAAUAUUUUCAAUUGUUUCAAAAAUUUUAGUUUCUUUAUAAUAAAAAUUAAUUGUCUUUCAUACUUUUCUCUCAUUGCGUUUCUUUUUUUGUUGAAAGAAUUAUUAAUUAUAUAUUCAUGUGUUUUGAAUUUAUGUAACAUUAAAUUUAUAGUGAAUCAGAAAAAGGGUAUCAAACUACGUUUGAUCAUAUAUGAAGAAGUAUACUCCUACAUAAUGAAAGAAGUAUAUUCCUACAUAUACGAAAUGAUUGUAUUUUUCAAAAUUUUCUUUCAAAUUAUUUUCAAGUAGUAUAUUAAAGAGGGAGGUCUUUUCAUAUACAAUUUGAGAGUAUUUCAACAUUUUAUUAUAAAAAAUAGCUUUGAACAAAUUUUAUAAUCUUUUUGAUUAAAUAAUUGUCAACUAAAUGUAACAAUUGAAAUUUAAAACUUGUUAAAAUGAUAUUAAUUUGAAAUAGUAUAAUAAACAUUAAAUUGAAGAUUAUCUUGUGGAUUUUCUUUUAGGUUAUAUGGUUAAGGUGAAAACUGAGAAGUAGUGCAUAUUAAAAAAGUAAGAAAAAAUUGAAUGAAAAAUGAGACCCAUAAAAAGAGAUAGGUUUUGAAUAAUGAAUUUAUAUUGUGAAAAUACUAUAAUAUUCUUGAUCGUCUUCCAACUCAUAAGAAAUAGUUAUAUCUAAAAAUUUAAAUGAAUGACAUUACUGAUAUCUAUACUAAUCAAAAAUAGUUACAAGUAUUUGUUAAAGUUCAUAUUUGCCUAAAAAUUUUUUUUUUUGGUUGUAGUGAAAUCUCUAAACUUAACUUGGUAAAAUUUAAUAGAUCGCUACUUUUAGUAUGAUCUAUUUAUUAAUGAAAAUAGGUAAAAAUUAUGAGAACUAUGAUUUAAAUUUCAGUAUAGACAUAAAAUAUUAAGAAAGAAUUUUAUCUUUUAUUUAUCUAAAAAUUUGAGUGAACAUUAUAUUACACGAUAUCAAUACUAACGAGAAAUAGUUAUAAGUAUUUGAUGCAAAUACAAUAAUAGUAAAAGUAUAUUUACUAUAACUAUAAAGAAUGGAUCUUGGGCUCAUGAGAGGAGGAUUGUCCAAGUCUAUAUAAGAGAUUUUCAUUUUUUGAUGUGGGAUACUUAACACUUCCCCGCACGCCCAUACCUCAUUAACUGGAGUGUGGAUAAUAUAGUAUGGGGGUCUAACAUCAGUGAACAAUGAUUUGGGAUGGGCUUGACCCUGAUACCAUGUAAAGAAUGAAUUUUGAGUCUAAUUCAACCUCAAAAACUAGCUCAUGAGAGAAGGAUUGUCCAAGUUCAUAUAAGGAGACCAAUUACUAAUUCAUUUUUCAAUGUAGAUACUUAACAAUAAUUAAAAGGAUAAAUUACACAAAUCUCAUACUCAAGAUACUAUAUUACCUAAUAUCCCUUACUUUUUAAAAAUUUACAUAAAAUUUCAUUUUUCAACUUUAUUCUUGAUACAUAUCAAGAAAAUUCCACAUUUUAUUUUUACUCCACCAUUAACUCAUUUAAGAUUCUAUAAAAAAAUUAAAGAGAAUAAAAUAUACGUAAAUUUGAUUUUUAUCUUAUAAAAUAAAGAAAUUAUUGGCGAUAGAUCAUUGACUUAAGUCAUAGGUGUCCUCACCAAAAUGUAUCAAAGUGAGUUGCAUACCGCUAUUAUCUAAAAUAAAUAAAAUAAAAUAAAAACAUAAUUACUCACUCAAAUUUGUCGAAAAGCGCUGCAUAAGCCUGGUUAUUCUAACAAGAUCCAAACAGUUGAAUAAUUUAGCUAAAAAUUGGGUUCGUUUUAUUAUCCAAGAUAAUUAAUAUCGAGAUUAGUUAUCGGGGAUAACUUAUCCUAUCAUGUAUAUGAGAUAAGUUAUCCCACCAUGGAUUAAUCUCUCCAACCAAACAAGAAAUUUAAGUGAUCUUUUAUUUUAUCCCGGGAUAACUUAUCCUUUGGAUUACGACCCCUGUGUCUUAAUCAUAGUCCAGUACCCGAUGACAUCCAUCUCGUAAUAUCCGAAAUUAAUUCUGAAAUCUAUUCUUUUGUUUUUCUUUAAUACUUUUUUUUAAUUGGGCGUAGGGGAAGAAAAAUGGAGGAGGGGAUUAUAAUGCGGGGAAUUGAGCCCUCACCAACAAGGUGAGUGUUCAUGUAACUAACCAACUAAGCUACUAUGAUUUCUUUUUUCUUUAAUACUCCCUCCAUUCAAUAAUAGUUACUCCCUCCGUCCCAUUUUACCCGUCCCAAAUUGGGAUGACACAACUAUUAAGAAAAUGAUAAUUGGUAAUGUAACUUUACUAUUUUGCCCCUUUUAAUUGUGUCUUGUUGUUAGUUCUAAUAUUGAUGAAUGACCAAUACCAAAGCACCAUUUAUAUUGUUAAUGGUGUACUCUUAAUGGUACUUUUCUUUGCAACAUUUUUCAAGAAUGUUAAUAACAAGGAGUAAGCAAUUACACUAAGGUACAAUGGAAAAAAAAUUAUCUUGUCUUGAUAAAUAAAAAGGACAAGUAAAAUAAGACAACAAAUUAGAAAAUUUGGGACGGAUAAAAUGAGACGGUGGGAGUAUUUAGGUAUUUACUUAACACACAAAUCAAAAAUAAUAAUAAUAAUAAUUUUGUUAUAUUAUCUCUUGAAUAAUAAUAAAUUUAAUAUCUUAGGAAAUAUAUUAACCGAUGAAUAAUAUUUAAUAGCAAAAAUAAAUUGAAUAGAAAAUGAUAAAUAAUACAUUAAUUUUUCAUACAGAAUAAAUAUUAUGAACAGUUAUUUAUAGUACAAUGAAUAAAUACUAUUGAAUUAAAAAGUAUUAUUUUAUGCUUCCUCCAUUUCAUUUUAUUAGGCUUUUAUUUAAAAAUUAAUAUUAUAUUUUACUUAUUUAUUCUAGCAAAUCAAAGAAAUCGUUUAGAGUUUUAAGAAAAUCAAUGACAAGAUCAGUCUGAUAAAAUCUACAUCUUUAAUUGAAGUGUUGUUAAAGAGGUAUGUGGCCCUAAUACUUAAUAGGGUCGAGUAAUAUAACACGGAGGAAGUAUAAUUAACUAAUAAUUUUCUUAUUCAAUAUUAAUUUGACAUACGCAAUAGAUAGAAUAUCAGUUUAUUAUAUUAAUUUAUAACUAUAAUAAAUUUAAUAUUUUGAUAAACGAAUCUAUAAUCUAUAUCUAUAAUAUAUUAAAAGUGUAAAGAACCUUGAAAAAGUGAUUUGAACUUUUUACCUUUAUUAAAAGACUGUCCUUUAAGCAAAACUAUCUUUUCACUAUUUUUUUAAUUUAUUAUUUAAUUAUUUUUAUUAUAUUAACUAGACUCCUAAAAUAUAUGGACUCCUAAACUAUAUGGAAAGAAAAUCAAUUAAUAUUUUCCUUUGAUUAAUUAAAAAUACUCCUAAAAUAAAAUCCUAUUGAGAAAAUACUUCUAUAAAUAUUGAGAUGCACGUUAAACUGUUUAUGGUAAAAUCUUUAAGAGGAAUCAAAUUAACGUGGAAAGGAAAAAAAAAUAUUUAAGAAUUAAAAUUUUAUAUUUUUUUUUAAAAAGUACGCAUGAUAACAAAUAAUCCCUACCACUUUUUAAGGUUAGAAUUUUAGGAAGCAAAUAUAUUUUCUUUAAAAAAAAUAAUGCAUGGAAAGAAAAAAGAUUAUUGGAUUCAACCAAAAAAUAUAAUAUUUAACACUUCUAUAUCAAUUAGAAUUUUACCUUAUAUAAAAAAAAAUAUCUACAAUUCUAUUUAAAUAGUAUUUUUGAUAAAUUUUACUAGAAACAUACGUAUGAUUUUUCUACUUCUAUGUUUUCUUUUGUUUUGAUUUUGAUAGAUGAUUAAUUAGAUUUUUCAUUCUUGAAUUCAUUAAGAUUUUGUAGCCUUCUAUUGCAUGAAAAAAAAAAUAUUUACAACUUAAUAAAACAAAGGACAUAUGUUUCAAUGAUUCGGUUAUUGUCUAGAUUAGUGGAUGCUUAAGUUUUUAACUCUCAACUUCUUUAUUAUUUUUAUCAAUAUAAUAGAAUUCAACAUGUGUAUAUAUAUAUCUUCUUUGUUUUCAUUCAAAUAAUUCUUUAGGGUCAAAAUUUCGCUCAGACAAGUUAAGAAUUAUAUUCAUCAAAAUCGAAAUUUGUGAUCACUCUUGUAUUGUUUGGCUGUUGUUUAUAGGUCGUAGAUAAAUUUUGGUUAGCUUUGAGGAGUUCUUAUGUAAAUAUUAGAUUUAAUUGUAUUAUAUUAAUAUCUCUAUUAGUAUUAUUUUGUGAUAGUUUACAGUUUGUAGAUUAAUGUUGAUCAGUUUGGAGGAAUUUUUGUGUAUAAAAUUUAAGUUUAAUUGUAUUAUUUUGAUAUCUAUUUUAUCGUAUUAUUUUGCUGUAAUUUACAGGUGCUACGUAAAUAUUGGUCGGUUUUGAAUAAUUUUUAUAGGUAAAGGUUAGGUUUAAUUUUGUUAUUUUAAAAUUUUUGCUUUGAAUUUUUUUUUUCUGUGCAAAGGUUAGGUUUAGUCGUAUUAUUUUGAUAUCUCUAUUAUCGUAUUAUUUUAUUAGAAUUUACAUGUAUUAAAUCACUGUUGGACGACCUUGAGAAAUUCUUUGCGUAAAUGUUAGAUUUAAUUGUAUUAUAUUAUUGUCUCUAUCAUUGUAAUGUUUUGUUGCAGUUUACACGUGAUAGAUUUUGUUUAUAAAGGUUCGGUUGAUUAAAUAAAUUUUUCAGCUUUACAUAUUCAUCUUGAAUUUAAUUAUUAUAUUCGUCUUUAUAAUUUAAACACAUAUCCUAUUUAAUGUAAUGUUUGAACUCAUUAAAGUGAGAUACACGCAUGAGACGCGUACAACUAAACUAGUAUAAUUAAUAGCAGGAGAAUUAGAAAUUAAUUAAUAAAUUAUUUUUAAUUUUAUAAAUUAAAGUAAUUAAUAGUAAAUGAGUUUAUAUUUUUACCUACAUUGGACGAGCAAAAUGAAUUAAAUUAUUUGGAAAAAUCUUUUUGGCCGUAAUAGUAACAAAUUCUAUUUACACUAUAAACUAGUUAGUUUUAUGACAUUUUUACCCUUUUCAUCCUAAAUUUAAAUUUCUAACAUUACUUUAUUUAUUAUACCGUUAAACUAUCCCAAUACAUGGAAAUGGACAAUUUAUGUAUUCUAUUUAUAAUUAUUUUCUUAAUUGACAAUUAAAUAAUUAAAUAAUUUCCAAAUGUAGUAAUAUGUAAUUAAGAAAAUAAAAAUUAAUUAGUACAAAUUUAUUUAUUAAUUGUUAGUUAUAUUUUUUCUUUUUAACGUUUGUAGUUGUUUAAUUUUAGUUCAACUUUUAAUUAUGUAUUAUAGUUUAUACUUUGUAAAUAUUUUGAGAAAUUUAAUUCAAUUUAUUUAUUAUUUUUUAUCUAGUUCGAUUUUAUGAUUUUUUUUUAAUGAAUAUGAAAAUUAUUGUACGAAAAUAGAGUUUUAAGGGUGAAUUUCCUAAAUAGUCAGCUAAGUUUUAAAAUUUUUCUUCAAAUAUUACUUAUAUUUUAUUUAGGUCGCAAUAUCACUCAACUAUCACUUUUUUCCUCAAAAAAUAAUAAACACCUCAAAAGUCUUCUUCCCUCUUAGUUGACAUGAAUGUCACUAUUUUUUUUUUUUUUUUAAAAAGACUAGACCUAUUUAGCUCACCAAACUCAUUUAAUUGAACUAUAAUUUUUUUAUUUUUUUUAAAUACAUUAGUUUAUUAAAAAAAAAUUAUACUUAGAAAAACUUUAUCGGUACUAAAACUUGAGAUAUAUUCUUUCAAGGGUUAUUUUUCUCAAUGGCCACUCAUAUUUUUUUGAAUUUCCUACAAAAAUUAUUUUUAUUUUUUUUUAGAGAUAAUAAUAUGACUCAACUAUCACUAUUAUUCUAAAAAAAAAAACAAGUAUGUUAUAUCACUCUUUCUCUUCUAAUUGGCGGGUCAUGUUAUUAAAUUAUUUUUUAAUAAUAGGCUUAUUUAAAUCAUCAAACUUAUUUAUUCAAAAUUAUAUUCUUAUUCUUUUCUUGGAAAAAAAAUAUUAAUUUAUUCAGAAGAAAUUUUCAUGCUUAGAAAUCUUUUAUCAUUACUUAUACUUUCAAAUUUUUUCUAAAGUUAUUUUCUUGGAUUAUUAUAAAUAUUUUUGGAGUCACUUAUAAGAAUCACAUUUUGUUUUGCUAAGACAAUAAUAUCACUCAGUUAUUAAUAUUUUUCUCAAAAAAUUACUAAGUACCUUGAAAGUUUCCUCCUCUUUUAAUGAGCAUGUCAUGUCAGUAAACCAUUAUUUUUUUAAAAAUAAUAAAUAUACUAACUCAGCGAACUCAUUUAACCAAAAUAAUAGUUUUAUCUUUUUAAAAAUAUAUAUUAAUAUAUUAAGAAGAAAUUCUCAUGCUUAGGUAUUUAUAAUUUUUUUUCUAGAGUUAUUUUCCUAGAUAAUCAUUCAGGUCUUUAUACAUAAUUGCCUACAAAGAUAAGUUGUUUUCUAAAGAAAACAGUAUCACUAAAUUACAUAAGUUAUCUAGAGAUUUUAAUUUGCAUGUAAAAUAAUAUGAUAAAAAUUAAGCAUCGUAAAAAAUUUCUAGACAGGAAAAUUAAACUAAUGCAUUUAAAACAAAAAGAAUAAAGUUCUAAUUUUGAGUAAAUGAGUUUGAUGAAUUAGAUGAUUUAUUAUUUUAAAAAAUGUAAUUUUAAUCACAUGGCAUGUCAACUAAGAGAGAAGAAUAUUUUUGAGGUGUUUAAUAUUUUUUUUAGGAAAAGAGUGAUAGUUGAGUAAUAAUGUGGUCCUAAAUGAUAUAUAAGUGAUAUUUGAAAGACUUAAAACUAUUAUUUUGGUUAAAUGACAUAUAUUAAUAUAUUAAAAAUAAAUAUAAAUGAAAUAUAAAAUUUUUAAAACUAUUAAUAUUAAUAUAUUAAUAUUGUGGUCCUAAAUAAAAUAUAAGUGAUAUUUGAAAGACUUAAAACGAAAGUUAAAAUUGUAAUAUUGCUAAGAAUCACAUUUUGUUUUUACUAAGACAAUAAUAUCACUCAAUUAUUAAUAUUUUUCUCAAAAAAUUAUUAAGUACCUCGAAAGUCUCCUCCCCUUCUAAUUAGCAUGUCAUGUCAGUAAACCAUCAUUUUUUAAAAAAUAAUAAACAUAUUAACUUCGCAAACUCAUUUAACCAAAAUAAUAGUUUUAUCUUUUUAAAAAUAUAUGUUAUUUUAGCAAAAUAUUUUAAUGAAAGUUAAAAUAUAAGAUUUUGUUAUUUUAUAUUUGUCUAUAGAUAGAUAUCUAUAAUCUAUAAUAUAUUAAAAGUGUGAAGACCCUUAGAAAAGUGAUUUGAACUUUUUGUCCUUCAUUAAAACACUUUUCUUAGAUAAAACUGUCUUUUCACUAUUUUUUUAAUUUAUUAUAUUAAAUAGACUUCCUAAAAUAUAUGGUAGGAGAAUUAAUUAAUAUUUUUCUUUCUACUAGACUUCCUAAAAUAUGAUUCAUAAAUCAAAAAGACAUUGAUUAUAUUUUUGGGAAAAAUCACGUAUCCAAAAUAAAAAAGGAGACAAACUAAUAAUUUUGGAGGAAAUUUCUUGAUCAGCCAUACUUUUUUUUUCUUAUUGUGCUAAAGUGAAUUUUUUAAAAUAUAUUUUUGAAAAGGAAAAAAAGGUGAAAACACUAUAAGAAAAAAAUGAAAAUAACAUGUAAAAUAAAAAACAAUGCUUAAAGUAAACUCUUAUUCAAUUUUUUUUUAAUAAAGGCUAUAUGUAUAGUUACGAAUUAAUUAAUUGUGUCUCUGUUUCUUCCCGUGAAAUUGAGGCUUUUUUCCUAUUAAAAAGUCUCUUAAAUAUAGAAAGAGUGGUUCAAUAUUAAUUAUGAGGACAAAAACUUACCAACAUUAAAAUAAAAUAUAUACAUUAAAUUAGAGAACUCAUUUAAUUUGAUUUGAUUGCAUGCCUAGAUUGGUUGAUGCUUGAUUUUAUAACCCUCAACUUCUUCGCUAGGACAAGAAUUAGUUGGAUCAAAAUCGAAACUUUGUGAUCGCUAUUAUAUUUCUUUUUAUAGUUUACAGGUCGUAGAUAAAUGUCGAUUGACUUUGAAGAAUUUGUUGUGUAAAGGUUAGGUUUAAUUAUAUUGUUUUGAUAUCCUUAUUAUUAUUGUUUUAUUUUAAUUUACAGAUGCUAGAUGAAUGUGGAUCGGUUUAAAAAAAACUUUGUAGGUAAAAGUUAGGUUUAAUUGUAUUAUCGUAAUAUCUCUAUUAUUUGUUAUUUUGUGGUAUUUUAGAGUUCAUAGAUGGAUCUUGAUCGAUUUUGAGAUUUUUUUGUGUGUAAAAUUUAAGUUUAAUUGUAUUCUUUUGAUAUCACUUUUAUCGUAUUAUUUUGUUGCAGUUCACAGGUGAUAGGUAAAUGUUGGUCGACUUUGAGUUUUUUUUUUUAUAUAUAAAGGUUAGAUUUACUUGUAUUAUUUUGAUAUCUCUAUUAUUGUUUUAUUUUAUUAUUAUUUACAGGUGGGAGAUGAGUGUCAGCCAAUCGGCUUUGAAAUUAUUUUUUAGGUAAAAGUUAGGUUUAAUUGUAUUAUCAUAAUAUCUCUAUUAUUUUGUUAUUUUAUGGUAUUUUAGAGUUCGUAGAUGAAUCUCGAUCGGUUUUAAGAAUUCUUUGUGUGUAAAAUUUAAGUUUAAUUGUAUUGUUUUGAUAUCACUUUUAUCGUAUUAUUUUGUUGCAAUUUAUAGGUGAUUGAUAAAUGUUGGUCGACUUUGAGAUUUUUUUUAUGUAAAGGUUAGACUUACUUGUAUUAUUUUGAAAUCUCUAUUAUCGUCUUAUUUUGUUAUUAUUUACAGGUGGUAGAUGA
rnacentral:lncRNA from 1 species